GGCGGGGGCCGGCGUGCUGGUGUGGUGGGCGGUGGCGUUCCACCCGUCGCACCAGCAGCUCUGGAUGGUGCCCGUCGGCCUCGUCCUCCUCGGCACGCCGCUCGUCGCCUGGCUCUCCCUCUUCGCCUCCGGCGCCGGCCGCUGGCUCGGCGGCCUCCGCGCCGGCGCCGACCGACCGCCCGUCGCCCCCACCGUCGUCCCGGAGAGAUGAUCAGCGCGUGCGCGGCCGCCGGCGUGCAUGCAGAUUUGAGUAUGUAGAGCAGGACCUUGGACUCAUCGGUGUACAGUUUUCUUCCCCGUCUUUCUUUCGUUCUUGUCAUGGCCGUCGGAGUGUGAAUCGGAAUCGGAACAGCAGUUUGGUAGCAGCACUACGGAAGUUUUAACUGAUUUGCAUAUGCUUUGCUUGAUGAUUUGGUUGGUUGGUUGGCAGGCCGUUUCAGAACGCGGGAUUCCCAUUCGGAUACAAUUUCCACAUGGAUUUGAGUUUGCCAUGUAGUAGUAAAAUGAAGUGUAUUACUGAUUACUACUUACAUUUGGGGGCUCAAUUUUAGACCACCCAGCACUGUCAGACUCUGGUAGAGAGAGAAAAAAUGUGAAAAUGAUCUCGGUACUUGUAAUGCUGAUGUGCUUCGCAAUAAAUUGAACGAGCCAGUAGCUUGCACCAUUGAUUUUUGGAACCCGAAAUGUCACGGGAAGGGAAGUGUUGCGCGGCUCUUUGAUUGUAUCUAGCGUGACACCUUGGAAUGGACGUCUUGGGCAUCGUAGAUCAUGAUAGCCGAGGCAAGUGGACCGACGGCGAGAGGUUCAGCUGCCGGACGGGCCCUCUUCAUAUUCUUUAUGCUACAACUAGUAUACUCCUAGUAGCAGGAGUGAGCACUUAGCAGACGCAGGUAACGUUUGGAUACUAGGUUAAACUUUAGCCCUAUCACAUCGAAUAUUCAGACGCUAAUUAGUAGGACUAAAUCUGAGCUAAUUACAAAACUAAUAGUAUAACUCCUAAGCUAAAUCGCGAGACGAAUCUAUUAAGCCUAAUUAAUCCAUCAUUAGCGAAUGGUUACUGUAGCACCACGUUGUCAAAUCAUGGACUAAUUAGGCUUAAUAGAUUCGUCUCGCGAUUUAGCCUAGGAGUUGUACAGUUAGUUUUGUAAUUAGCCUAUGUUUAAUACUCCUAAUUAGUGUCAAACAUCCGAUGUAACAGAGGUUAAAGUUUAGCCCCUAUCUCCCAAACACCCCUGCAGGCAAGAUGGCUACCUGUGUCUCCGGUAAUCUUGCUUGCUCCAUCGAUGGCUCUCAACAACAAGAAAAAAUUAGAUGGGGACGGUCCCAAAAUCCUCACCAUGAGGUCCUGCCCUCGAUUUCUGCCGCGUGGCCACCCAAGCGGAUCGACACCUCAGCGACCACAACGCUCGUACUCGGCUCAACGCAUGCAGCUCAGGUGCUCGUCUCGAAGUGGACGGCUCAGUUCCUUCUUCCCUGUCGAGAGCCGCUGCCACAUCUGUUCCGCAAGUUGUCACCUCCAGCAUCCUACGCCGCCAUCGCCGUCCUGCCGUGGUCCACCUCAGUCCCCUCGUCCGACCAAUCUCCCGUCAAUCUCUCUCAUCCUCUGCUGCUGUCGCAUCCGUCGUCCUCCACCACGGCUGUCGUAGUACGCCGAAGUCGCCUUGCCCACUGGCGCCCCCUACGACCGCCUCGUCCUCCUCUGCCGUCGCCUCCGCCGUCCAGUGCCGUCGCCGCCUCCAGCUUCACAUGAUGGGAUGCCUCGAGUAUGACAUGCAAACACAUUUUUCUCUCUAGCGUACUGUGUCUCCUCUGGCCUGACGUAUCCCAUGAAAACGGAUGAAGAUGAACAUGAAUUUUCACCUUGAUCGGGGUGUUGGAGCUAGCUAGUACCAUGACCGAACUAAAUGUCUUAUUUGCAUUAGUGGCUGUGAUUCAUAAGUCCGCCGCAUUAGCCGUCGUUCGCCGCCUCUGCACCGUCAUCCGCUGCCGUCGUCUCCGUCAUCCACUGCCGCCGCUGCAAUUUCGAGCCAGAGCCGUGGCCUGAGCCGAGCCAGCGGCUGUUGGAGAGAGCCGAGCGAGCGAGCCUGCGUUCCCUGCGAACGAGCGCGCGAGCCUGCGUUGCCCUGCGAACGAGGGCGCGAGCGUCGAUGCGGUCGGGUGGUCACGCGGCAGAAAUCGAGAGCAGGUCCUCACGGUGAGGUCUUUGCCGACCGUCCCCACCGAAUUUUUUUUUUCCUCAACAACAGUCGUUGAUCGCCUUCCAUCGUGCAGGCCUUGGCGAUAACUUCGAUUCCGGCGGCAUCCCCGGCCCACCAAGCCGCUAAACUCUCUGCCUCUAGCUCUGUUGUGGUGCGCGUACGUCUGCCUGGUCCACAUGUCACACGCACACUCACCGGACGUCAUUUCAUUCGAAUGUUCGAUCUCGGAUUAUGGAAGGAUUUGGACGGAAAGUUUUGUGCGGUUCAGCUGCGAUGCUAGACUCCGACGACCAAGCAAUUGGGAGCACAGCGAGUCCGGGUGUCACGGUGGGAAGAGAUGGCCGGAAUUCUUGUACAGUGAGCGAGACGUGGACUGCGCUCCCUAAUCAUCCUAGUAUGUUGGGGAAUUUGGAAUGGAAAGAGAGAAAUGCAAAGAAAACGUAAACCACAUAGUAAUAAUCGAAAAGAUCAGAGACGAAGCGAAUUUGUAGGUUACGGCCGGGAGCAAAGCGUCUAUGGACACUGGUUGAUGACUUCCGAUCGUAUGACCCUCCUGUGAUUACCGCGGCAUAGUUAGCAAGAAGAAGAAGAAGCUGGGAUCUUGACAUGCACCCGAUGGUCGCUACCUGUGCUGCGAGUUGUGUACUGUAUGGCGCGUGAGAUCAGAAUCGGAUGAGGAAAACUGCUGCAUCGAUGGGAGCUGAGCACAGAAUGGGCAUCUCAUUCUGUCAAAGCUUAGUCAGAGAAGAGCGGCGGUUAGGUUCGGCUCUGCUGCUGCAUGUGUAGUUCAUAAGCAGACAACCGAGAAGGAAUCUGGUGAUCUCAAGCACCCAACUUCCACUUGAUGAUACUACAAGUAUUCUCCACUUGACAUCACUAUGAUCAUCAACUAGCGCGUAUGGUCCUGGUGCGGGCGGUUCAUGUGUUGCAGCCGGGGUUGAGGACCUUCAGGUGUGGAGGUGGAGCAUCUUCUUCCUCUGAAGCUAAGCUAGGACAUGUCUGCGUCACUCACCUACCUCUCUAGCGUAGCAGAGUAUUCAUUCGGUUCCCAUGUUUGUUUGUUGCGUCCCCUCUUUCUUGGGAUGAUGACACUGCACACUGCCGUCGGAAAUGGAAGCAGCAAUGGCCUCUGCGGGUUCCGAUGCCUCUGGCAGUCUGGCUACUCACUCCGAAGUCCAAAUGGAAGCCGCUCCGGUUUCGAGUUACGAUGACGCUGCCUGCCUGCAAUCACGCAAGCCAGCGAUCAGACGGAGACGGAGGUGGCAUGCUGCAUGCACUAAUUGACAAGUUCGGUGGAAGGCUACCAGGAUGGAAAGGAAAAAUAUUAUUAUCGGCUGGGAGAGAAACAAUAGUACAACGUGUGUUAACAUCACAAUUAAUCUUACUAUUACUAAUUGGAGGUUUCUUCUGAAGCCCGAAGCCAUCUAGGAUCCUAGGUGGACACUAAAGAAAUCCUAAAAAUUCUCUCAAAAAAGCAAAACAUCUAGCCAUCAAUUCAGUAGAUUAAAAUCAUAAUAACCAUUAGAUCUAUUAUAUUUUCUAAAAAAUUACCAACCUCUGUCAUUAUGAAAAUAGCAUAAAGUAACCCCUAGAUUCAUAUCUAAAUUACCCACCUCUGCCAUUAUAAUAAUUAACUAAAGUAACCUCGAAUCUUCAUCUAAAUUACUCACUUAUACUGUAAUAAAAAAAUAAAAUAACUCCCUAAAUUUGCAUUAAAAUUGCCCCCCACUAACAUUAUAAAAAGCAAUAGUCCAAUUACCAUAUGAGGGAGGAGUUUUAAAACAAAAUCACAGCCAUUGAUUUAAUUAAAAUAAAUCAAAAAUAGAUAAAAUCACGAUAAUCACACAGCUGCCUCUCACGCACGGAGAUAAACUAGCGCCGGCCAUCUCCGAUCGUGGCAAUCCUGCAGUUCCUCGCGCGCGGAGAAAAAACAUCGGCAUCUCAGAUAGCAAGUAAUUGAUGACAGGCUCACGUCACGUUGCAUCGGGGAAAACAUGCAACUUACCUCAUGAGGAAAAACAGAUAGCUAGAUCUAAUUGAUUAUAUUUUGACUAAAUUUCUAUUUUCUAAACUAUAUAAGUAUCGGGUUAGCAUAUUUAACAAAUGAGAGAAAAUUCAAGGUAACAAUUUUGAUUAUUAGCUAUGUGUUUCAAUUGGAUACUCCGCGUUAAUUUUCACAAGACACGUUAGGAAAUUCUCACAAAAAUAAAAAAUAUGGAGUAUCAAUCAUGUAGACUCUAACAACCAUAUCCAUUGAUCUAUUAUAUUUUCUAAAAAAUAUUACCCACCGCUAGCUAUCAUUAUGAAAACAUUCGAAAUUAAACCCUAAGCCGAUAUCUAAAUUACCCACCUCCUCGUUAUAAAAUUUUAAAGUAAUCCAUAAUAUUCAUCUAAAUUAUCCAUACAUAUUAUCAGAAAUUUUUUUAAAAUAUCCUUCUAAAUUUGUAUUUAAAAUAUCCAUGUAUAUCGUUAUUAAAAAUAACAUGAAGUAAGCAUAUAAAUCUUAAUCCGAUUGUGUGCAUGUUCAUUGUACAUAAAUGUUCAAAAGUAAAUAAAUAUAUGAUUCUAAAUUACCUAUGUAUAUCGUUAUUGAUAUAGAAUUACUAAGUAAAGGUAUAUAUGCCUGAUGUGUGUCACCAUGUAGACCGUUUAUUCAUGUACGGGAGGAAGUGAUGAAAAUUAUUGAUUCUAAUGUUAAACACAAUGUAUGGAGAUGCAUUGUAAAGUGAAAAAAGUAUGAAUUUGGAUGAAAAAGUUUAUAGAGUAUUAUUAAUUAAAGUCAAUCAAAACUGGAGUAUUGUGUUAGAAUAUUAAAAAAAAUGAGAGAGUCAUAGAUAAACAAUUUUGAUUAUUAGCUAGGGAAUCUAAUUUUUAAAUAACUUUAGAAUGCAAUAAUUUUUAAAAAUUUUAGCCCGUGCAGGAGCACGGGUUGAUGAACUAGUAUAUCACUUAACAGUGUUCCCGGCACAAAAAUGACUGAUCAAGUAGAUUGAUCGACUGUGACGGGUAGGGUACCCUCAGGCAAGGGGCUAAGGCAACCAGGUACCAAAAAGCCAAAGGCCUAACAGCUAGAAGCAUUCUGGAAGCGGCGCAGACGAUGUUGCGGCCCACCACCCAACCUUCCUUGGUCGAAAGAUAAGAGCCACGACUCGCUGGCUCAGCCAGCUCGGGGGCGGGGUUGACUCAGGAAGACCUGUGUCAUAUGAGAGGCAUUAAAUGCACAGUGUGGCCCUCCUGACCGCCCCACGCCAGAGACAUGAUCGGGUGAGGGGAGCUGACCUUUAACUAGGGGGUCCGAGGAUGAGGCAACAACCUUCGGACCGCCCAGGACGACUUGCAAGAUGAGGCCACGCGCCCCGACGUCACCAUCGCCUUCGCCAUCCAGGAGACCCGUCAAGAUUAAGGCCAUGCCACCGCACCAGGCCCGGUACGGUCCCGCAGGCGAGGUAGGACCCAGCGACAAACGUUACGGUGAGGAACGGCCGUGAGCGCACUAAAGAGGUCAGGGAAAGCCAGGACAAGCGGCGCGCCCUGUCCAGGCACUAAUCACGGCCUGCCCAUUCAUCACCAGUAUGGACGACAGCAACAGCACCCUGUUCACUGCCACAGAGUUGGCAGACGGGACAGGAGCACACCACGGAGCCGGCCGAGCCGUGCAUAAGCAACCCACGCCGCACAGGAGCCACCGUACAAGGUGUGGACACGUCGCACAGGAGCCACCGUACAAGGCGUGCGAAGUCCACGACCAGCCAAAGGGACAGGACAAGGAGGCCUCUUGGUGCAAGGAAGAUCCAACCACGCCACAACCCACGACCUCUGAGGUCGGGGACCCCCUCCAUUUCUCAACGUUGUUGUCCGUUCCCUGCUCUAUAUAAGGGGAACCGGGCCUCAUUUCUCUCUCUCUCUCUCUCUCUCAUUCAACGCGUACACCCACACAUCGCACGAACGCUUGCUUGCAAGCACCUCGUUGUAAGCCCAGUGCACUUAUCCGAGGAACAUGACUCCUGCCGAAACUAGACGUAGGGAUUUUUUCCGAACCAGUAUAACUCCUUGUCUCUUGUGUGCUAGCUAUCAGAAGUGAGGAGAGCGCGGCGUACAAUCACUAGUCGGCAGUCCGAAACAUGGAAAUGGUUAGCGGAGGACACUGCUUGAUUAAAUGGCCAACAAUGUGCACGUCAAAAGACAUGGGAGGACUUGGGAUUCUCGACCUUGAGAGGCUUGCAAGAGCCCUGAGAAUGCAAUGGUGUUGGUUUCAGUGGAAACAUAGCGAGAGACCAUGGGUAGGGCUCGAUAUCCCUUGUGACAAGAACGACAGGGAUCUGUUCUAUGCUUCAACAGUAGUAAAGGUGGGCAACGGAAAGAAAGCAAACUUUUGGCAUUCUGCAUGGGUGAAUGGAAAGUCCCCAAGAAAUUUGAUACCCAGUUUGUUCCAAUGAUAUAAAAGGAAAAACUUCAUGGUACAAAGGGUAUUACAAGAUAACUACUGGAUUACUCAAAUAUACCCACUCAUGUUCGGAGAGGAAAUCAGAGAAUAUGUGUACCUAUGGGAAGAAAGAAACCUGCUGCAGAGGGACCCUACUACCAAGGACGAAAUAACGAAAUAACUUGGAGGUGGACGACGGACAGAGAAUAUACCAUGAAGAGUGCAUGCCGCAUCCAAUUCCAAGGUCAACUGAAGAAGCUUAGCAUCACCCUAAUCUAGAAAGCCCGAACGGAACCCAAAUACUGAAUCUUUACAUGGAUUCUUCUCCAUAGGAAAAUCUUAACGGCCGACAAUUUGGAAAAGCGGGGGGUGGCCCAACAACCUACAGCGCAAGCUAUGCAAUUCGGACCUAGAGACUCCCGCACACUUGUGCAAGGACUGCCCGUACACAACAGCAUUCUAGGACCAUCUACGAGGAUGGUUUUCCCUUCAUCACUUACCAUCAGGUAACGCAGCGUCCUCGAUCCACAAUUGGUGGAAGAAGUGCAGGAUCUUUAUCAACAAACGGAACAGAGCGCUCUUUAACGGCCUAAUCAUAUAUUUCUAUAUUUCUGGUAGAACAUUUGGAAAGAGCACAAUAGAAGAGUCUUUAACCACGAAGCUAAAUCAGUAGAUGACGUGGCGUUUCUUAUCAAAGAAGACUUUCAGCAGUUUCAAUUGGCAACACAGCCCUUAGCAGCCCACACUGACGUUCCAGCUUAGCAGUUUGGGAGUGGUGUUCUUCUCCGUGGGGGAGAGUGUUUAGUGUUUGCUGUUAUUUUCCUUUUUUGGAGUGUUUUUUGAAGCGAGUGCAGUGAGAGUGUGUUUAUAGUCGUGUUGUGUUUAUAGUUGUUUGUUUGUUUUUUAUUUUCUCCUUCUAAUAAAAUUUUUGGCAAAGCUUUUGCCGUCCGUUAAAAAAAAAGUCACGGGCGGGGAGGGGAGCGAGCGAGCGCCUGCGUUCAUCCGGGCGCGCGUCUCCCAGGGCCGGUGCCACCCCGGGCAGCGGCAACCCGGAGCAAAGCGAUCAUAGCUGAGUAGCUGACCUUGCUUUGUUUCCCUUUCCGUGGCCAUGGACAUGGAGAGGUUGACCGCGUAGGACUCGCUGACGAAUGUAAUGAUGUGCACGUGCUUUGUUCCGGCGGCAGCUAGCCGAUCCUUGUUUCUUCUUGUUGCUUGCCAGUUGGAUCUUGGAGUCGAUCUUGUUCCUUUAUAAUACACAAAAGCUAAGGAGCCAGUGAAAUUCCAGUAAAACCGAUGAGGCAGAGAUGAUCCUGACCACCAUGUCUCGUCUCUCGUGCUAUUAUAAAAUGCUGUGCGCCAUGAGUUUGGAGUAGUAUAUCAGCAUUCGACACAGCAGGGGGGCAAACGACCUUGCAUAUUGGACUACAGCAUCUUGGAAUAAAGCUAACUGAAAAAUCGUGAUACCUGACGAAUCGAGCAAGCCGGAAUAAUUUCCAGGGGUCCAGUUUUUGCAGCUGGAAUAAUUUCGCGGCAGCAGCGUGUCCUCCUGCAGCUGCAGCUGCAGCUCUAGAAAAGGAAGCCGGGCAGAACUUAGCUGCAAAUCGAUCGGUGGAGAGAAUACAAACAGGCAUCCGCGUCGAACCCAACAUCUUGCAAGAGGACACGGCAUAGAAAGCCACACGUCGAGUGGAGGUCGCACUCGGGUCCCCGUCACCAUAAUUCACGUCCCCAGCGGCCCAAGAGUCCAGAUCACCCUGAACCAAGUAAUUGCAACGCCUGUAGACUUGAUAGAUUUUUUUUUAACUUAGCUGUAGCUACAGCUAGCCUUGCUAAUUGGAUUGGUGUUAAUGGUUUUAGUGGAUUUAUUUAAGAAUGGAGCUGCAUCGGCCGGUAAUGGAUUGAAAAGUUAUUGAGCUGGUUUAAUUUGGGCUGCAAAUUAGAGAGGGAUGGUUAGUUAUUGGAGUAGCUUCAUUUUAUCGGAUUGUUAUCGGUGUCCAAACCAAGGGUCGUAGGCCAACUAGGCACUCGGGCUCUCGGGCAGGUCGUAGGCGCUCGCCACUGUGCCAGGCCGCAAGCGAAGGAGCUGACCCUCGCCUCCAUCCCUCCCUCCCUUCGGCGGUCCCGCCGCCGCUGCCACGACUCCCUUCCCUCGUGCCGCCGCCGCCGCAACAGCCACGCCUCCACCUCCGCCUCGCUCGCGCCGCCGCAUCAGGAAAGCUAGCAAAUUCAUCGGGCAGAGGAAGCCGGUGAACAAGCUCUCCAAGAAGCUGGCGAACGAGCUCUCCAAGAAGCCUGCGGCGAUUCAAGCUCUCCACGGCUGCCCGCAAUCUAGGUGUGCAUCAUCUCCUCCUCCGCGCCAUGUGAAGUGCGAAUCUACGAUUUGGAUGCUAUUUCCACGUCCUGGGGUGUUGGAUUGAUCGGUAGGUUUAGAUUAGAUCCAAUCUUUUGGGUUUAGGUGAGGUUUUGGGGUUGGAUCACUUUGGCAAUCCUGAACAGCAGACCUAUACCCUACGUCGCUUCAGAGUCUGUUGGAGGCUACAUGAUUCGGGGCUUGAUUGGGACAUUCUGAAUCCACUGGAAAGAAUUGUUGAUUGGCUGUUGUAAACAAACUGUGUUUGAUUUAUCAGAAAUUAGUGGUACAAAGAAAAUGUGCGAUUUCAUUUGCUCGGCACUUGAGAGAUUAGAUAAAACUCACCGUGGUGGAAGUGAAAAGGGAGAUCUUGACAUGCACAAGGUUUAUUUGCAGGAGGUUUAAUUCCUUUAGUGUGGAACAUUUUGCUUGCCUGUAAACUGAACCAGCAGCCCCAGGAGGUUUAAUUCCUUUAGUGUGGAACAUUUUGCUUGCCUGUAAACUGAACCAGCAGCCCUUGUCUGGGUUUUAUUUCUUAUUGCCUACAAAUUUCAAGAGCAAAGUAGCUGUGUCCUAUUCAUAUAUGUUGUGAUGCAGUAGUAUCCCUCAUGAAUAAAAUUUGCAAUUCCCAAAAUUAUGAUCCUCUUUCUCCGUGGAUGCUUCCCAGUCAAGGUCUUGCAUUUCUAAUGAUGGUUUUCUCUGAAAAAAACUGCAAUUUCUUAUAAGUUGUUAUUACCUAGAGAUUCUUCAACAUGUUUGCUAACACAUCAGAAACGGUUACCAACAAGAGAAAUAAUUCAUGUUACUAUCUUAGUUUCUGAAUUUGCCGUAUACGUUUUACAAGCCUAGCAACUGCCGUACACAUGUAGUGCACAACUGAAUCUAUCUUGCUUUGUUUGUUCCAGUGUUCCAGCUCCAGAUGCAUGGAGGGAUUGAUGAACCAAUUAUUGUGAGCAUAGUUCCUUCUGCCAGACGGAUUUGGUCUGCUCUGUCUUUGAUUUGGUCUGAAACAGGAGUCGUUGUUGAUAAAUUUUGACAGGAAUCAUGUAUAUUUCAUCGUUUCAGUUCCUUGGCCAGAACAUCAUAUUUUGUAAUAGUUCUGUACUUCUAAUUCUAACAUUGUUGGAUUUUUAAUCUUCUUAGAGGAAUCUCACCUCUGUCUUACCGCAUAGCAAGAAGACCGUUUGGGCAGUUGUGUGCUCCUGUUCACCUGGCUGCCUGUGUAAUCUUGGAUGAAGCUGCGGUGGAAACAAUUUCUUAAUGGGUAAAAUCGGUUGUAGCUGCAGUUUGGACAGUGGUUUGUUAUAUUAUUUGCUGCGGGAGGAGGAUUGGAUUGGUGGGGUUUGAUUCAUGGAGGAGCAAGAUUGGAGUAGGGUGGGUUGCAUUUUCUUUGUACAGUAGAAUAGAUUAGAAUAGAUAGGUGUGGUUUUGGCUUGGGUACGAGACGUAGACUUGAUAGAUCUUUUUUUUUAAUAUUCCUAGACACAGGCGCAUAGCUCCCUACUCCUACCCCACCACGGCGGUCGGCGGCCACGAGAGCACGCGGCUGCGUUGGGAGGCGCUGAAUCCGUGGCCGGCGUGGCACUGGCACUGGCAACGAUAAGGUGGUAUGGCCCAUCCAGGGCGGGGGGACAAUCAUGUGGUUACCCGCCCUAGCUCCAUGAUUGAUCGGACUAGUGAUGGUCGUGGAGGCAGGCAGGCACUCGCUCGCUCUCGUCACGGUAUCCCGUAUCCCCCGUGGAUCCCAAGCUAGCGACGCGCCCUGGCUGACUGGCGCGGGUAAGAUCUGGCGGAGGCCGUGUUACUCGUGCCUACAUCUGGCCGGGACCGGUCGUCAUUCUACUGCGCGGUGUUGAUUGGACUACGCGGGGCCCACGCGUUUCUUCUACCAGCGAAGACUUGACGAAGGCUUUUGGGGUGGAGACGUGGAGCUGCUGGCUGCUGCCGAGCGGCGUCGUGCCGUGGCACGGCAGGAGAGCUGGGGAGGGGAGGAGAUCCCGCGUAUGCAGAGUGGAGAGCGGCAGAACGAAGCGCGUCUCUUUCGACGGCCGCAUGAUUGGUGUACGGGACCGUACGGCGCUCCUUCCCGGAAGUUGCUGGCGAGGACGGCACGAUUCGGUUAUCGUUUACUACUUAUCUGAAUGAUGCACGAGUCAAGUCAACCCACCACCAAAAUGUAAUCCACGGCUCUAGAUGAGCUCCGCUGCCCGUUCUCGGGCUCAUGCAGAAGCAGAACCUUCCGUUCCGUCCGCUCCCGUUUUGCCAUUGCAACCUGGCCGUCCGGUCCGGUCCGGCUGGCCCCAGCAGCGCCUGGCCCAGCGCACCGUGCUGGCGGCGCCUAGAGAUAAGCGCGAAACGGACCAGCUCGACCUGACCAGCUGAAACGACGAGGGCCCACCCCUCAGACGGACACCGCAGCUCCGCGCGCCGCCUGCGUACAUCUCACCCCAAACGGAACGGACCGGGCCCACCAGCGCAGCGCAGCGCCGCGGCAUAUAAACCGGACGCGCGCGGAGGCGGACGGGAAGAGCAAAUCCACCGCUCUCGUCGACCCAGCGCCAGCGCCAACGCCAACCGACCCAGCGAACCGCGGCGCCUCGUCGCGCCCUGCCUGUCCGAGCCUCCGAUCGAUCGCUUGUUCCGCCGGGCCGAAGGGAUGGCGGAGUCCGCGGCGCCCAAGGCGACGGCGGCGGCGGCGGGGAGGAAGACGCGGGUGGGGCCGUACGAGCUCGGGAAGACGAUCGGGGAAGGAAGCUUCGCCAAGGUCAAGCUCGCCCGCGACUCACGCACCGGCGCCGUCUGCGCCAUCAAGGUGCUCGACCGCAACCACGUCCUCCGACACAAGAUGGUCGAGCAGGUCCGCCGCCUCCCGUCCCUCCUUUGCUCCUUGGAAUCAUAUCCUUCAUUCGCCAGCAAUCCGUUGGAAUCGUACCUGAACGAAUUAAAAAAAAUACCUGACCUGGCAUAUUUAGGAAGAUCUUUCCGCUAUUUAUUCGUAGAAAAUGGGGGAUAAUCAGACAGAAUAUCCAUUGACGUCUCUGUCGUUGUCUAGAUUCUGUUCCUCUUGGAUUGUUUGUGAUGGGGAAAAAUCGUGUGUUCGGUGGGUGUCCCCCGUCCUUGCUUAAGCUUUCGAGAUGCUGCGCGAAUCGGAUCGGAAGGGGAAUCAAAUUCAGAUUGGAAAUUAUGACCUUAUGAUCACCAAAUCAGAUAGGAAACCAUUCUGACACAAGGAACAAUGAUCCACGCCUAGAUGAUGUUUAUGAAAUGCGUAUGACUAUGGUUGUCAGGAGUUUCUCUCAAUACAUUUUUUUAUCGAAAGGAAAAACAAAACUCUGCUGUCGCGUUGUGAUGAAAUACGAAUGUAUACUAGCAUCAGAUGUCUGCUGUCCAGUUGUUUGAACCGCUCUGCCUUCUGCAUAACUUGAGUUUGUAACGUGAACGCUCACCACUUCUUCCACUUUCAGAUCAAACGGGAGAUUUCCACUAUGAAGCUAAUCAAACAUCCCAAUGUGGUCCAGUUGCAUGAGGUAUCUUCAAAUAUUUGCCGAGACACGAUAGUAUAAAUUCCAUUACCUUUUGAUAUUCCAUCUCACUCAAUAUGUGUGUUUUUGAUAGGUUCUGGCCAGCAAAACAAAGAUAUACAUGGUUCUUGAAUUUGUUGACGGAGGCGAGCUAUUUGAUAAGAUUGUAAGGCCCUCAAACUUUCAGCGCCUGAUAUUGUUACUCUUUAUUGCUUUUAACCUGAGCUUACCCGUGCCAAGAAAAAAACAUGUGAGCUAAGUUUCGAGACCCUGGCACAUAUGUUUGUUUAGGUCAAUUCUGGGAGGUUAAGUGAAGAUGAAGCAAGGAGAUACUUUCAUCAACUUAUAAAUGCGGUUGAUUAUUGCCAUAGUCGAGGAGUUUACCAUAGAGACCUGAAGGUUUGUUGAAUUAUUCUGCUAUCUUUCUGAUGCGUUAUUCCUCAAUUAUAUAUGCUAUGCGGUUCACUGUCUAAUUCAUGGAUGUCUCGUGUUCUUUUUGCAGCCAGAGAAUUUGCUUCUUGAUUCACAUGGAUCUCUUAAAGUUUCAGACUUCGGACUGAGUGCCUUUGCGCCACAAACAAAAGUAUGAUCUCUAUCUAGUAUCUAGAAAAAUGCAUUUUGCAUGUUCAAUAGUUAAGCCCUUUUGUUUCUCUAUGACAGCGAUGCAUUUUAGGUCUUACAGCAUUCGUCCGGGUCAAUCGACUUAACUUGCUACCUUCUAUAAAAAUAUUCCAGAAUAAAUGAGUAAACAAAAAAAGAAUUGCCAUUAACUCUUCUGUUGUUUUGUUAGGAGGAUGGGCUUCUGCAUACUACUUGUGGAACACCAAACUAUGUUGCACCUGAGGUGAAUUCCUCACCUUCCAUUAGUUACCCACUUAUUUUGUUGCGACCUUGUGUGAUUAAUGUGCUUCAAGAUGUGUAAGCAUCGGACUUUUACUGCAGGUGCUUGCUGAUAAAGGUUAUAAUGGUAUGGCUGCUGAUGUAUGGUCCUGUGGCAUAAUCCUAUUUGUUCUUAUGGCCGGAUAUUUACCAUUCGAUGAUUCCAAUCUGAUGAGGCUGUACAAACUGGUCAGUUUGAGUGAUAGAUUUAGAGUAUUGGUUUACUUUGUGAAAUUAAGUUGUAACUUUGGGAUGAUUUUCUAAUUAUAACUUCCUUUGCAGAUCUGCCAGGCAAACAUUUCUUGUCCGACAUGGUUUUCUUCCGGUGCAAAGAAAUUCAUUAAGCGCAUUAUUGAUCCUAAUCCUGAUACGGUAAGUGUGAAUUAAGAAUGUGCAUUUCAAUAUAUGCUGCCUUUAUUCAAAAUUAUCCAUUGUGCUGUAACCGGUAGACCACUGCUAGUCAUGUGAAUUCUUGUCUUCUUAUAAGUCUUACUAUCAUCACUGUUUGAGAAAAUGGGUGUUUUAUUCUGCAGAGGAUAACAAUUGCAGAAAUUUUGGAAGAUGAAUGGUUCAAAAAGGACUACAAGCCACCACGUUUUGAACAAGGUGAAGAUGUUAGCCUUGACGAUGUUGAUGCUGUAUUCAACGAUUCAGAGGUAUAAUACAAGCUAACGGUUCAUUCUUAACUUGCAAUGGACUAGAAAAUCUUCCCAGAAAUAUUAUGUGCUAUAAAAACAAUCCAAUGUUCUAUUUCACAUCCACAUUAUUGACAGCAGUUUCUGUAAGCUGAAUCUUUCUAUCUUCGUUUUAUUUUGUAAGACCAGAUUGAGAAUAUCUAUUGCAGGAUGGAACUAUUCUCAUUCUUUUUUUACUGACUCACUCAAAUGUCUCGAGAUUUUCGUAAUGUAUACUGACUGUCCCAUAAAAUAUCAGAUUGGUCAACAUCUCAGCAAACGGUUAUAUAGUUGUUACAUAUAGGCACCGCUUAAUGGGCUACCUUUUCCUUUUGACGUCUUAGGAACAUCUUGUGGCGGAGAAAAGGGAGAAACCAGAAUCCAUGAAUGCAUUUGCUCUUAUUUCAAGAUCACAGGGCUUCAACCUUGGAAAUCUUUUUGAGAAGGAGAUGAUGGUGAGUCCAUAGAGAUUUCAAUUUACUACUUUCUCAGUUUGGAAUGUGUUAAAGAUUAGUUUCAAGAGGGGGGGGGGGUGCAUUCCUUUCAGAAGCAGAUGGUAGGUGGUUGGUCGUCUAUUAUUUCACCAAUUUCAGAAUAUGUUGCAGUCUUGACGAUUAGCAUGUUGAAGUGUUACCAUUUGGGGUUACACUUCCUAGUCAGAAAGCAAUUGUACUUUCAGCACACCUUUUUCUUGAUUCCUUACUAAUGCAAGUCUUUUUUUUUUAAAAAAAGGGAAUGGCAAAGCGGGAAACAUCCUUUACAUCUCAGUGUACAGCACAAGAGAUCAUGUCUAAAAUAGAGGAGGCUUGUGGACCACUUGGUUUCAAUGUGCGCAAACAAAAUUAUAAGGUAUGUGACAUUUUUUUUUAACAAAUGGCUAGUAAUGUAAGGACUAAUGUUUUUUUUCAACUUGCAUUAUUUAUGGCAUUAAUGUUUUACAUGUCUUUCUUUUUGGACUUCCAGAUGAAAUUGAAAGGUGAUAAGACUGGAAGAAAAGGCCAUUUAUCUGUAGCAACAGAGGUACUGGUUUUAUUAGCUCUAUGUUCAGUAUUGCAACUUCAGAGUGUAGCUUAUUGAAAUUGCAUAAUUCUGAAUCAACCUCUGCGCUUUGUACUGCAAGUUCUAGUGCAAUACUUAGCAUAACAAUAAAUAAUUCUGUUAUCUGAGUCUUUCCCUUGCAUUCGUGUCCAUGAUUUAUUCGUUUGCAGGUUUUUGAGGUUGCUCCAUCACUUCACAUGGUUGAGCUUCGUAAAACCGGAGGAGACACAUUGGAGUUUCACAAUGUACGUUCUCAAAUUAUUCUGCUUGCUGUAAGAAUUAUUCAGUGAUUGUUUUCCUUAUCACUUUCAAAUAAUUAACAUGGUUUCAUCAAUACGCAGUUCUACAAGAAUUUCUCAACAGAAUUGAAGGAUAUAGUGUGGAAAGCUGAAUCUGACACAAGUAAGAAACAGACAAAGUAAUUCCAAUGGGACCUGUGUAUCUUCUAAGGCCAUAUUGGUAAAAUAUAGCGCCUUUUUAAUGAGUGCGAUUGUACACAUACAUGUAUGCAGAGGCCCUCCCUGGGAUGCUCCUAUAUUGUAACGGUAAUAUGGGAUGUAACAUAGGUUAUCCUGAACUUAUUUUUUUGUUUGUCACCAGGGCUUAGUGUGCCUUUAUUCAAGGUAAUAGCUAAUGAUGAACAAUGAUGUGGGAAUGCUAACCGUGCAAUUGCAGACACAUGCGGAUCAGUUAUGAACCUGAAAUCCGUUAUUUUUGAGGGCUCUACGCCUGAACCUGGGGGAUGCAUCCUGCACCGCAGACUCAGGCGCAAUACGUUUGUUCCUCCUAUGAGUAGUUGCCUCCGUUAUGACUAAGUGCGCGCGCUGCUGGAUACGGUAUCAGGGCAGUGUAAACGUGUAAUCCACCGUUAUUCAAGUUGGUGGACCAUGGUGGACCUGCACAGGAGUUACAGAACUCGACCGUUAUUCCUGAACUCGAUGGAGGUAGUGGUCGGAACUUGGAAGUGACCAACUGACCACUGAGGGCCUGGACUUCGGGAUUUACAAGUAAAAUUACUGCUUAUGUCGGUGUUCAUCGGUGGUUUUGGUUGGAAUUCGAUAGGCUUCAAAAGCUACAAGCUCUCCCAAUCCAGGCCUAAGGGUUGGUUCCUUAAAUUUAGGCUUAUUUUACUAUCCUUAGUUAGAGGUACCACUAAAUUUAACUAGCCCGUAAAAAUGACUCUUGAAAAUAUCAUGUUUUUGGUGCAAUUAGCAGCGCAGUGCUAUGUAGAAAUGCCAAAUUUGGCUAGGUCAUUAAGUUUAGGACCACGAUGUUAAGGUGUAGUACUUCUGCUAAUGGAAUAGAGGGAGCUACUGGUGUUUCUCACCUUCAUUUCUAAUUUCGAUAAAUAAGGCUAUGUUUAGCAUUGCUUUGGUUUUUGAAAAGCACUUAUCCUUUUCUGUUUCAGGAAUCAGGAUAAGUAGCUACUUAAACAGCUUUGCAGGAGCAAUAAGAACAAAAUUUCACCAAAAUUAGAAAAAAAAUCUUUAGGGGGUGUUUGGAUCCUUGGGCUAAAGUUUAGCUCGGGUCACAUCGGAUGCUUGGAUGCUAAUUAGGAGUAUUAAACAUAGUCUAAUGAUAAAAAUAAUUGCAUAAAUGAGGGCUAAUUCGCGAGAUGAAUCCAUUAAGCCUAAUUAGUCCAUAAUCAGCACAUGUGGUGCUACAGUAAACAUGAGCUAAUUAUGGAUUAAUUAGGCUUAAUAGAUUUGUCUUGCGGAUUAGCCCUAAUUUAUGCAAUUAUUUUUAUCAUUAGUCUAUAUUUAAUACUCCUAAUUAGCAUCCAAACAUCCGAUGUGACCUGAACUUAACUUUAGCUAAGGAUCCAAACACUCACUUAGUAGAUUCCACGGCGCAUCGACCAUAUAUGUCCAUAUCGUGACUCUCUGAGAUACCAAAUGCGAAGUAACGUUUUAAGGAAGUCCAUACAUGUACGUCCACAACUCUGUUCUAUCUUUAUACCUUUGUUUAUUAGCACGCAGAAAUGUUCCCUAGCUCAAAACCCCGAAUGAAUAGAAUCUUUCUGUACCUACUAAAAUCUCUGAAGAAGCUCUUGCAUUGCAAAGACACUUCGUCCCUUUUAAUUUUUCAAAAUAAUGCUAUGUACUCCUCCAUCUCAAAAGGAAUGAUUUUCUAUGAUUUUUUAGACAAAUUAGACGUGAAUGAAAAUGACGCAUGCAGUCUUAGUUAGUUCAGUUUGCAUAUAAAAAAGAAGAAAAUAUGUUUCAAUUUAAUCAUGCAUGUACGAGAUCAACGUGCUAAAUUAUGCAUACUUAAGAUUUAUAAAUUAUGCGUGCUUAAGAUUUAAAUUUUAGAACAUCAAUUUUUUAACAAAUUUUGAAUGUUAAAAUAUUAUUCUUUUUGGACGGAGGAGGAUGUCGCAUCGAAUCUGACAAUGCAUGGAUGGGAACAUCUGCGUGGCAGAUGGCUGCAGUGCAAUGAUAGCAAUCUGAGAGGCGGGAGCUGGUAGAGUGGUAGGCGCGCAGUACCAGAUUAAUAGCAGGAAUAGCGGCUUCUUUCGUAGCUAUUCGUCAGUGGUCACUCGCCAGUACACUCACCCGAGCCCUGACACUGAUUUCCGGCGAAGAAAAAGGGAGCUUUUGAUUGGCCAUCCACCUUCUUCUACAGUUUCUUGACAGAAUGACAGCCGUUGCUUGCAUGACAGCACCUUGACACCAUGACACCCCUGUAAGCCCCCAUCUGUACCUCUGUAAGACAGUAACCUGGCUCAAGUGACCGGUGUCUUCGCUCUUUCAGUUUCAGACGGCGCCCGGUGUUCAUCUAGAGGGAUGCUGAUAUUGGAGGGGACGCACGGCUGCGUGCAAGUCUCAGCUAUCUGCGUGACAGCGAGGGUGGGUGGGGAAAACCGCAGCAGGUAGCGGGUGUUUUCUUUAACCCCCAUUAGCAAAUCAAAUCCAUUAUUCCACCGGUCGCCGUCGCCACCGACCACCACCGCACGUCCGCACGCGCCGAAGGGGUCAGUUUCUCCGGUUCUCCUCUCUGUUUUCUGACGCCAGGUGAUGACCCGGACGGGAAAACGAAACCGGACACGAGCUCUUCUUUCUCCCCGACCCGUGCCCUCACAGAAUCGGCCAUGUUUUCGUCGCCGCCGCAGCGACGGCUCAUUGAUGACUGAUAAGGGCAAAACAGAGGAGAAAGACAGAGAUCAAUUAAGCAGGUCGCGUUCCGUUCCGAUACAAGCUGCCGAGUCCCUUUUGGCUCUCCAAGGGUCUGUCGGUGCCUGGAGACCCGGCUGCUGUCAGGGGCGGCGCUUAGACGUCGGGGUCAUCCGAGUCAUCGGCACCGAAAGAUUUGACGAGAACAGCGGAGGGGCAAGAGAGGCCGCGAGCUGCCGACGCCGAUGCAAACGCGACGUCACGGCCGGGGCUCUGCUCUGACUGAUAAACAACUCGUGUCAGGUUGGAGAUCAAUACGGCAUCCACCUUUUCCGAGCCCUGGUGACGGUGCCGUAUUUUGUUGCUGCCUCGUAAACAAACCAACCAAAUGUAGGCUGCAUUGCAAGUUGCAGCUGGCUUGAGAUCACAGAAAACAGACCAUAGCUACUUUUGGGCAACCCUUUUCCUUUUUAUUUGUGGUUUGGCAUGCUAUAGCUAGGUUCUGAAACCAGUCUGUCUGCAAUGAAGUGCUGGCCGACUAGUGAUCCACGAUUCAUUAUGCUUGGCUUCAGUGGCAAAAGUUUGGUGACGGUGCACGACAAAUGGCCAGGCGAUUCCGCAGUUUUAUUUUUCUACUACUAGAUUUCUUACAAGUUUUCUGUGGCUGCGCUGGCUUAUCCGUUUCUUUCUCUCGAGAAAAAGCAGAGAGCCUUUUAUUUGCAGCCAUGGAUGCUGCCGUUCCGAGCUGAUUCUUGCAUCGUCGUCGUCGUCUUCGUCGACGCCGCAAUGGUGGUGGAUUCCUUAGAGAAAGUGUUUUAGGUGGCCUGACGCUGCGCUUAGCGCAGCCACGAGAGAGACGUGUCCAACUCGAACGUGUGGUUGUGCCUCACGGCGCCAAGAAUUCAGACGCAUCGUCGUGGUGGGCAUGCUUCUUGCUGCUCCGACGUCAUGAUCGCUUCUGAAUUUUGUCCUGGGUUUAAUGUGGGGAUCACCAAAACCUCAAGCCCCGUCCACCCGUCCACGGUAUAAGAAACCUUUUGACCUCGUAAGUUCUACAUCAAGUAUAAAGAGGUGCGGAGCUAUUCUAGCCUCACGAGUCCCAAACUGAGAAGUAAAACUCAGCUACCCUCGAACGUCGUUAGCAGGUCUCAAGACUAACCUUGCAAGUUGCGCGUCAGCAACAACAAAAAUAGAACCCCGUUAACCUCGCACGCUCUAUGGAGGCACCUCUAAUGGUAAAAUCUCGUAUCCUUGCAUCACCUCUACUCCUAGAAAGACUCGAGGGCAGUGAUUGACAACAAUAAUGCCUAACUCCCACUGGGUUAACCCUCGAGUAUUCAGAGUCGGUUUCGGACACUGAGCUUUUAUCUUUUUACUCUUUACUCAGAAAUGAGCUCGCAUAAGAACUAUGCAAGGUUAAGACCUCUCGGUAAGACUCAACGAAGCAGGCGCCUUGAGGCUGGGCGUUCGUCUCGGAUCGCGGAUGAAGCCUCGAGGCUGGAUGAUCGGCUUAAAAUGAAGAUGAAGUCUUGAGGUUGGAGGGCGGGAGGUGUGAAAAACAUGAUCACAUGGAAAAGUUCAAUUUGUACACGUGUUCCUUAAUUACCUUUAUGUACGGCAUAUCCUAGGAAUGUAGUGGUCAUGAAUCACUAUAAAAGGGGAGCCCUACCCCGUUGUAAGGGGAGAUCAAUUUUUACAAUUGUGAAUAUUGUUCCCAAUGUAACUUUAAAUCUGUUUGGUGUCAAAUUUCUUUGAGACCAACAGGGCGUCACCAUGUUCUCAGCUACAAAACAACCCACGAUUCCAUAAACGAAGAAUAAGAAAACUGCACCACAGGAAGCAGCCGAGGGCGAAAGAGAGAACCCUGCGGCUCAAGAGAAAAAACGUUAUCCCUGUUGAUCAAGAUGGCACAGAUACCAUGGAGAAGUUAAAGAGAGUUGAGACUAACUUACGAACAAGAAGCGAGAAAAAAAAGAGUCGAGGCAGAAGUAACAAACCAAGCACAGCCGGAAACAAGCACAGGAAACGAUUUACUCGGAGCAGCAGAAAAGGAAUUGGCCUUAGUGCUAAGACAACUUGGACUCUAAAACAAGAAAAAGAAAUAUUUGCUCAAAAGCUGGAAGAACAACGUCUAGCGGCCCGAAAAAUAGCAAAACUAAAUCAAACAAAACAACAAUGGGCAGAAUUGCGAAAAAUAGCAAAACUAAAUCAAGCAAAAUAACAAUUGGCAGAAUUGCAAGAUGAAUUGGAUGAACUGCAAUACUUACCAAACACACCACCACAACCACCACCCCACCACCCUUGAGACAGCAGUAUGUCGCGAAUGACGCAAACAUCCGCAAGCAAAUCCUAACCUCACUACGCACAACGUGCCAGUGAUGAUAGGCGCUUAUGUAGCAAUCAACUAAAGCUCUCCAUUAUCCAUAGACCUGCAAACAGCUCUAUGGCCUCCAACCUACAAGACAGUUUCACUGCCAAAGUUUAAUGAGCAAAAUGACCCUCGUCAAUUUCUCAUGAGCUCCGAAGCUACAGUAGCAUCAGCUGGAGGAGAUGAUGUUGUCUUAGCCAAGUCCCUAAUCAUAGCCUACGAGGGUGCAACACUGAACUGGUACUCACUACUCCCACCGCAGUCAGUAUACAGUUGGAUAGAUUUCAAAACAAAGCUAAUAUAAAACUUCCAAAGCUUCCAUCGUGCAACAAUAGACUCGGGUGACUUGUUUCACUGCAUCCAAAGAGAUAAAGAACCCCUAGCCAAUUAUGUUAAAAGAUUCGUAUAAUUGAAGUCACAAACUCCAGGUGUGGAUGAAAGCGUAGCCAUAGUAGCACACUAGGCUCGACAACUUCGCACCUAACAAGAGAAAAACCUAAAACCAUGGAAGCCUUGUUCGCCGAGUUGGAAAAAUACUGCAGGUCAGAUGAGGAUCAUAGAAAAAGUGUAAUGGAGAGAAACCACCAAAGGCAAGUUCAAAAAGAUCAAAAUUGGCAAAUCCCGAAAUACAAUUUCGUACAACAUCAACAGCCAUAUCCAGCUCAACAUGUGCUACCGAUCAAGGGUGCUCAACCCUCCAGCAACAAAGUCAAAAUCACAAUAGACAAACCAGCAAAAUAACAAAUAAGUUAUGGCAAUGGACGAAGAGGCAGUCACUCUGGCAGGGGAGGCCUGACUUACCAACCUACCACGUUCUUAGUCUCGUGCCAGGAUUAAGCAGAAUUCGUUCAAAUGUCACUAGACGGUCUUCAGCUAAUCCCACGGGAAAACCGCGCACUGAACGCUGAUCUUCCGUGCUAUAGGUGGAGGCCUGAUCUAGUCCUUUCAGAAAUUCAGAGUAACCGACAAUUCAGCUCCUGUCCCCCUGUGAAUUCAAACAGCACGUGCCGCUAAACACAAAGAAACCUCAUGCCUGUUUUGAUCGUACAAACUAAACAUGCAUCAUACGGCUGCAAAGAACAAAGUGUAGUGCGUCCAGCUUUGCCACAUGGGCAUGAUAAUCGUACAGGCUAGAAAAUCGUACGGCUCGGAGAUCUCCUCCAACAGCCCCAAAAUUUCCAUGUCUGGUCACGGAUUUCUCUCUCGAAACGAAUAUAAGACGGCCCAAAAUCAUGAAAUGCUUCCAAGAACAUCCUGUACAAGACACAUGCAUCUAGCUAGCUACGAGAGCCUGGCAAAACAAGAUGCCAAGAUCUCUUUUAUACCAUUAUUUGUGGCGCCAAGCCAAUGAUCCUGACUCUUGGCUAUAGAAAGCAGAGUUUGAACAGCCCCCACAUGCUGCUGCGUUCAUCAGUGAGUGGCAUGACCGCACACCUAUCAAGCACCGCACGCAUAUUCCUCUCUCCAAGACUGUCCUUUAACCCAUCACACUCUCCUUUCUUUCUUUGUUCUUUCUCCUGCCUCUCGUUGAUCCCGUCGCUUUGAAAGAAAAAGAAAAAGAUGGUGCGGAUGCACGUCACAAGCAGAACGUAGCAUCACCACAAAAUUCGGUUACAAAUUUAAAAACUCAGCUACAGAUUUACAUUGGUCGCAGUACGAUUUAACUGCUAGUUUCGGCUGGCAAAACUAGGUUUUUGAUUUGUUUGUCUUCUCAUCAUCUCAUAAUAUAAUACGAUGACGACGACGGAUGUACACAUGGGUGAUGGAUGGGAUGGGACACGUACGUACGUUGGUUCGCCUACCUCGAUCUCAUGCACCGCGAGAACGAAAGCGGCCGGCGAUCGAUUGCUCCAAUUCGUUUCAGCAGAUGGCGCAGGAGUUGGGGUUCUCCUCCAUGCUCAUGUUCCGCACGUAGUAGUAGGGCGCCGGCGCGUACGGGUUGUAGUACGCCGGCGGCGGUGGCGGUGGUGGGCGGUACUGGUUCAUGUAGUCUGCCGUGACCAUGUUCAUGUACUGCGGCGGCAGGUGGUGCCACGGGAUCGGCAGCGGUGUCGGCUUCUUCUCGCCGCCGCCGCCGCCUUCCUCCUUCUUGCCAUCGCCUUCCUUCUUGCCGUCGCCGUCGCCUUCCUUCUUGCCCUCGCCGCCGUCCUCCUUCUUCCCGUCGCCGUCCUUCUUGCCGUCCCCGCCCUCCUCCUUCUUGCCGUCGCCUUCCUUCUUCCCGUCCCCUUCCUUCUUCCCGUCCCCCUCUUCCUUCUUGCCCUCGCCUUCCUUCUUCUCCUCCUUCUUCUCCUCCUUCUUCUCCGGCUCCUUGGCCGGGCCGAUGGAGUCGAUGUGCGCGGCCCAUGACUUGCGCAGCUUGCUCACCACGUCCACCGGGUCCACCGUGCCGAUCACCGUCAUCUUGCGCGCCGCCAUGUCCACCGAGAUGGCGUCGAUGCCUGAUCGCGACAAGCCCAAGUUGUUAAGAACAGAGCAAGGAUGGUGAUUAGAUUCAACGGUGCCGACACUGUGAGAGAUGAGUACGUACCGACGAGCACGGAGACGGCCUUGAUGGCCUUCUGCUUGUCCUUGUUGUCAUGCAACUCCAGCCUCACCACAAUUUUCUGCACACGAGAGCAUCACGGUUACUCUGGCUCCGAACAGGGGACGGAAGGCAGCAGGCAAUGUGUGACCAACGGUAGGUGGCUACUACCACACUACAAGAACCAACACAACGCCUGAACAGGCAGGGAAAAAAGUGCAGAGAAACGACUCUGAUCUUUGUUUCCAAAGCAGACAGAACCAACCAAUCCAAAACCAAAAGGGAGCUCAAUCACGAUCGGUGUAAUGCAUCCAAGAAGAGCAGGGAGGCUCACCUUCGACAUGCCUGAGAGAAGAAGAGCACUGGGAAGGAUGUGGACGGAAUGCAGGUGGAGCAGGGUGGAGUGAAGAGUGGAGAAGCCAGAGGAAAGUUGGGCGAGGUAGUAGCGAGCGAGCGUGCCAACACGCAACGACGCCGAGCGCGAGGGCAGAGGGGAGUUGGGGAGUGGGAGGCCGAGGGCGCCUCUAAAUACCAGCGGCGCGCGGCAGAGGAGAGGUAGCGUUGGUGGCAAGCGCGGUGAGCAGUGGCCGUGGUACAACAAGCCACAGCCCACAGCGACAGACAACCGGAGUGGCUAGUGGCGGUGGAUGGUCGGUCUCCACCUCAGCCGUGAGUGCCAGCGAGUGACCGCUGCUAUCGCCUCCCUCCCUGAUGGCUGCUGUGUGCCUGUGUGGUGUGACCUGACCGUGUGAUCGUGUGAAGGCGAACGAGGCCGGGGACCCCGAGACAGAGGACGAGAGGUCGGAUUCCCCGGCUGGGCAGACGCUUUAUGGCUUGUUCCGAUCUGGCGCGGCACCGUCCAAAAGGGACGAGCAGUCCACGUCCACCCCACGCGGCCGUGCCGUCCCGUGCGGCCCCCAAUCAUUUUACCCUUCAUUCUGCUGCACGCCUCCCUCCCAUGCACCGUCGGCCUCAUCAUUUUAAUUGUCUCGGCUCCUGCUGCAUCAUCUCCAUCCCAAAUUUACAGUGCAGGGUGGUCGCAGGCAGCCUCUGCUCUGUCUGCAUGGACAAGAUUUCCUGUGAUGACUGUCGGUUCGGCAUCGUAUCUGCUGCGGUUACUGUCUCUGCACCCUGCUCCUGCAGUGCAGCGUCCUUGGUCCUCUCCAUUCCCUUCGGUGAAACUUCUCUCCUUUUCAGGAACAGCUCUAUCGCGACCCUGAACUGUCAUGCUCGUUUCCGCGUGCUCGAGACCUGUGACCCGCCGUCCUGCUCCGCCGUUGGUAUCCAGUGGUACGGCACAGGGUUCCCCUUGAUGGAUGCUUGUGCCAUGGAUGCUUCUUGGAACCAGAAUCUGGGACCGGUCGCUACAGCGGAGCAAGAUUUCAGAAUCUGCCGAAUGCGGAUGGUUCGAAUGAACCCCUGCCCCCACCGUGCCCGGUGAUCGGCAGCCUGCACCGGAAAUCAGCCGAUGCUUCAUCAAAGCCUCUUGCUGUAAUUGUUGGAAAGAAACUAAAAAAGGAGAGAGCUCUUGCUGCGAUCCCAUUGUUCAUGUCAUUAUCAUCUACAAAGUGAUCGGCAAUAAGGACGUGUCACCUCUCUUAGUUUCUUUAAGAACGAUCUAUCAUCAAUGAGGCUGCUCUCUGAAGCUGACAUACACGGCGCCAAUCAUCUAGUUUCGACUGCUAAUAAUUGGGCGUAAAAUUCAGAAUGAUCAGGUGGCGCCAGAUCGCGAUAACAUUGAUGAGCUCUGGCGAACAUAACAAAUUAACAACAUAGGUUUAGGUUGCCCCAUCACGAUCGGUAGAAGCCAUUCACUUUGAACAGGAGUAGGCCAUGCAUGCAUGAAAAGGGCUCUCUUCUUUUCCUCACCACCACCAUAGAUUGCGAUUAAAAUUCAGUGCUGUAUUUUAUAUCGACUUCGUUUUCCAGCCACGACCUUAGACUACUGCAAGUUGUCAUCGUUUUCCUGCAACUUGCAAAGCCACCGCCGAUUUUAUCAACAUCCACCUCCAGUUUCUUAAACACGCUCGAUUCUUCUACUGGACUGUCAAAUCAGAAUCAUCUGUAGCAAAUAAAGCAUUCUUAAGGUCAAGGUGUCAAGCUUUGUUCGCCCAUUCUGGUGACUGACUGGUGAAACCUUUGUUCGCGCAAGCAUCGUAUCCUGAGUUCCUGACUCUGAAGAUUGGCGAUUGGUGAUCGGCUAGCUCCAAAAGUCAAAUUGAACUUUGAAGUUCCCUUGCGACCUAGGAAUUCUGAAAAGUCGUUAUCUCUUUCUGAGUGCUUAAGGGAAAGACAUUCGUGCAGAAUGAGCUUCCCGUUUCUCUUUUUCCUUGCUGGGUCUUGGUGUUCUUGGUGGGCCAUGGUGAGUAGUACUAAUAUUGUAUGGUUACAGAACAAGCUAAUUUCCCGAGCAUACCAAAUUAUUCCAGCUUACAAACCUGAUUCACAUGGUUUGCACACAGUCCCUGGAAAGGUACCGAAGGGUUCCACACGAUAUACCUUAGGCAUUACCAGUUUCAUGUUUUUUUAUAAAAAGGAAUUUAUGUUACAAUUAUUGUACCUCUUAUUAUCUUUUCUAAGGAUGGUAAAAGGAGGAUCAGUAUUAAUCAGGGGAAUUACAGAUUACAGUAACAAGCCCAUCUCUAUAUAUCCUCGAUCUAAAAAUUAAAGCUCAAGCUCAAUAAGCCAUUGGAGGAGCUCUACUGAAAAUAAUGUUGCCGUGCUGGACCAAAGUUUGUCAAGCACUCAAGCUUCACAUGUUACUCUUAAAGUUCAAAUAAACUUGAGCUUACUUGAUCCAAAUUUACGAAAGAUUUCUACAAGCCAAGCUUUACAUUUAGAGCUUUUAGGCAAGCUCAAGAUACAUGUGGUAUUUUGUUGCUGAAUUUACUUGAGAUCUGAAGGUCGAGCCUUAGCUCUAAGAUCUGAUCGACAACGUAGGAUCAAUCAUGCUGAUGUAGGUCUAAAAAAAAAACUGCCCUUGUUGAAGUCUAAUUUGGCAACACCUAACCCGUGUGGGCUGUGGGCUCCAAGAAACUUCAAGUGUUGCCGUACAAUUAUUCCAAGAAAAAUGGGGACUAAUAACUGGCUCGCCCUAUGCAACGCAGGAUAAUACUACGUCACAGUCCAUUAAAAAAAACAAAGUUAUCGCGAACCUGCUCCUUUUCUUUUGAUUAUCCACAGGAGUCCCAAACAGGAAAAAUCACUCUCGUCGCCACAAACACAAAGGUUGUUUUCAGAAGAAGUCCGAUACGCUUGCUGUUGCUGUAGCUCUUUUGCUGAAUUAUUUGCAGGUGUAUAAAGCAGCCACGACUCUUGUCUUUUAUUUCCAUCAUUCUUUUUUUUUCCCGAGAACGAGUUCCAUGCUUCUGAUAACCCUUUUCAGAUGGCUUCGCGGGCUCUGAUGAAUCUGCUGACCUCUGAACCCAAUCAAGCAGCAGGCAAAACGUGGACCAGUUGUUUACUCUGAUGAGCAGCGCCAAAUCGAAUUGGUUUGCCUUUACACUAUCCGAUCGGAUCAUGCUUGGAUUGAGAAUAAAGUCCCGGCGACACACAAGUCACGCCCGGGAGUUUCAUAAAAAAAAAAAGUCACGUCCGGGAAUGGGAUUUGACUCUGCUUGACACAAGUCGCCAGGAUCCGGCCUCUUCGUCACCCACAGCAUCACAGAGACGCAAGGCGGCGGCCAGUCUGCGUGUGUGUCAAAACGGCAAACAUGAUGGUUGGUGAGCGUAGCGCGGUGGGUGCCGGCUGCGCCGCCACCGGCCGGGGUUUGACGUCCACUCCUUCGGCCACCGCGCCGGUGCAUCAUUUUUCCAUGAGAAAUGGCGUGAACUCCACGCGCGCGGUGGCCAACUGCUCGUGCACGCCGCUGCCCCCUGCCGGCCUGAAUGCCUGAGCCUGAUGCAUUGCACGCACCGGCACCGAGUCAGCAGCGGGACACGCCGGCCGGUAGAACUACUCCCCCACCCAUAUGGCCAUAUCCUCGGCGGGCCAGUGCGGGCGCACGCGUGCUCCGUAUCGGCAAUGCGCCGGCGACCCGGCGUCUCACACGGGGGGCCGAGAUGGGGAAGAAGCCGGUCAGGUUCCGUCGAACUCGAACAUGACGCGCGCGGCAAGUCAACUCGGUCGACAGGGAAGGGACCGUGAGGCCGGCCCACCACCUCCCCGGCGAGCGGGCCUAGAAGUAGACCUCACCGUGGCGAAUCGCGCCUACCGCUACCGGCAAAGCUCCAAGACAGGCAGGCAUGGCGACGGGGACACGCGCCACAGUGGCCGCCGUCGUGGGGUUGAUGAGCGCACAGGGACCAACGCUUUGCCCUGUUCCUGAAAGAAGAAGAAGCUACUACUCCUACGAGCUAGCAGUUCUGUGCGAGCAUAGUGCGCAUUCUUCCGAUUCUUGGUUCAGGAUACGCGUAGGAAAUACUAGCAGCCAAAAUCUUUUGCGUGCUAGCGUUUUCUCUCAACGUGCUUUUCAAGUAGGAUGAGCCGUCCGGUGUCACCCCCGAAUAAAGCGUCCAAUAAAGCAUGACCACGUCCCGUAUCCCUGGCCUGUCGAGCAUUCAUCCAGCAAAGGAGAUGGAUUGGGUAGGAAAAAUGAUGUCAGGAAAAUGAGAGGAUCGAUCGUUCUAGGCCCCUCAGGGCUCAGGGUCCAACUUUCUAAUUAGGCUUUUUUUAGCUUUUGCUAGCCCAGGCCCGGCUACGGUUAAUGGGUGUUCAAUCCAUCAUCUCAUUACCUCACCAACCUUUCCUCUGUCCAAAACCAUCAGUCAUUCCAACUUUUUAUCUGUCCAAAACCAUCAGCUCUUUCAUUUGUUUUCGUUUGUAUCACUGGAGCAGACAACCUUAUCUGCAAGGGAUGACUGAAUCAGAAUUCAGAAAGAGACGACUGCAAGCCAAUCCACGAUGCCAAUUGCUGGCUCUACAGAGACGACCUCUCAUCCCUCUACUCUACAACCUAGAAUUGCAAGCCAAUUGGCGCACUUCCACUUCAUGUUGAGUGCAUCGCUUUCCAACUGCUUGAAUCUGAGCAUCAAGGGAAUGUGAGGAGGAUACACGGAGACAGGCAGAUUUGCGAGAUGGAAACCUGACCAAGUGAUUGGAAAGGAAUGGCUCACUCACUUGCAGAGAUGGCGACGCUGAUGUUGGCAGGAAUUAAGCCCCACGAGUCUUCACACUCUCUCUCACAUUGGACAAAGGAAGACUACAGGGAACGUGGCAAACUGGUGAACUUAACAUUUUCCAUUGGGGCCCUUAGUCUUGAGGCCCAUGUAGCCAUAAAAUUAAGAUCAGAUUUGGACACGUUUACAAAGUCGAUCUAGAAGAAACGAAUAAAAAUAAAAAAUUAGGAAAUUCAGAUAGCGAGACAUUUUUACUUACGACAGAUAAUUGUGAAGUAACUUACUCUCACAAACACUCUACUGUUUCUACCUUCCUUUUAUUCUUCAUCAAUCUCACUCAUCACAUCUGGGCACAAAGUCUGCAAAUAAAGCAUAGUUUAGAAUUAUACUACACAAAAAUGCUAACACACAAACAAUAAGUAAAAAUGUAAAGAAAAUGCGUAUCAACCUUCAAGUCCUCAAGCUCUCCUUCACCCCCAAUUUGAUGAUCCAUGUUGUCAUUUUCCACAUAUAAUCCGAGACAAUCCAAAAAUACAGCAUCACUGAUGUCAGCCAUGUGAUAACUUUGACGCGAUGUAUCAUUAUCUUUCGCAAAGCAGUCCGUUAUUUCUCUCUGAAAAGAUUGUAUCAGGGAGCAAAGAUAUGAAUACACAACGAACUAAGUUCUACAAGCAACAAAAAAAAAACCCGAUUCCAUACCCAUUUAAAUGAUGACAUCAAUGGCAAGAUAGCUUCACGAUAAUCUAUAUGAGAAGCUUCUAGUAACUUAAUCCACAACCUCUGUAAUGAAUCAAGAGCCUUAUGAACCUACAAUAUAAAACACCAAGUCAAGUAUUAUCAAUAUGGUACUUGUAGUCAUCAUCAACAACAACGAACUCAAAGAAGAAAUGUAAAACUGAUAUCAUGACAUGAAGAAAACGCAACCUUAGCACCAGAUUUACGUUUAGGAAAUGUCUUCAGCUCCUUCUCUAAGCUCUUGAGGAUUACAGCUGCUUCUCUGCAUUUCUUUGUCCUCAUCUCCUGAACUGAAGAUGGUUCCGCUUUGUUGGAUAGAAGAAGCACAGACUCAAGCAGGUCUCCAGGGUCUCUAAAAAGAAGAGGUCAUGGUGAUUUAAAUCUUGACAAAGAGGCACACCAUCAAAGGGGCUAUAACCAUCACCAUAUGUUUUCACAUGGAAAUUGAGUUUUGGAUCCACAACUGAUUUCAAAUUCUUUGAAACCCCCUGAAAGUGCAUAAGGAGGAACUGUUGAAUGAGAUCCUGAGGCUUUGAGGCCCAACAACCAUUACAAUCAGAGUCAGAAAAAGGGCAUAUCCAUAAACUCCACGAAUUGAGUCUCUUUAACUGAAUCACAGCACCAGAGAUGGUAUCAACUGCUGGCUGGUUGCUACCUCUGUAAUAUUCAACCAACGUUUCAACCUUCACAUUCAGCAAAUUCUCCUGGUCAUCUUUUAUCUUCAAGGCCCAUUGCCUUUUUUUUUUUUGAAACGAGCCAGCAGGAGAGCUGCUGCUAUAUUGAUAAAGAGGGAAGGGCCCAUUGCCUUUGAGCAGCCAGUAGCUUGAGAACCCCAUAGAUUUCAUUCUUCGCAGCCAAUACCCUAGCAGAGUAGUCCUCGCCAGAGGAGGAUCCCAGAGGAAUGUCGUGGAGCUUUGGAUCCACGGGCUCCUCAAUGCAAAGUGCCCGGUUGCACUCCCUUUCGGCAGCUUCAUACUCGCCAAGCACAGCCAGUAGCUUCGCAUGGUAGAUUGCAAUUACCAGUGAGCUAGGAAAGGUGCUCGCGAUGGCACUUAGGCUAUCGACUGCCCACUCUACGACCUUCAUCUUCUUCUUGUCGCCCCGACUGAGGGUCCGGACCAUCCCGACUUCCAUGAAAACCGGGAGGAGCUGAGCGCGUGCUGAAAAUGGCAAACUCCGCCGCCGCCGCAGCUAAUGCGGAAUCAUCUCUCGAGGAUUCCAUCAGGGCGAGAACCUGUGCGAUCUCGUGAUCUUCCUUGCUGGCAUUGAUUUGGUGAAGCCGUUGUCGGAGUUCUUCCCCUGCAAUCUUGAGCCUGCCCCCGGCAAUCCUGAUCCGACCUCCCUUGUUUUUAUUCAGGCCAUCAUCAGCGGCGGCGGCAUUGUGCAGGAGGGGAUCGUCGGCGGCUUUGAUACUCAUGCCCCGCACGAACUCCAUCUCUGCGUCAGUGCGUCAGAGUACAGCUCGAGCUCCACCAGUGCCGUAACGUGGGCGGCGGCGGUGGCACGUGUUACACAUUUCAGAAACGAAUAAUGGGCCUAUGGGGUAGAAACGAGCCCAUGUAAGCCCACGCCAUGAGUCCGAACCUUCUGGGCUGCAAAACAGCCGCAGCUCGCAGCGGCUUCAAGGAAGCACAAGCGAACAGGCAUCCCAAGCAGCCAUGCUGCUGCUGAUGCCGCAACAAUCCGAAGGAGUCGCCGCCGACGGCUCGUCUGCUGCCCCUUCACAUCGGCGUCGGAGCUGAGCGUGGUGCCCGCCAUGAUUCGGCACCAGCUUUAGCGGCACCAACCGUUAGAUGCAUGCAGACACGCGCCACGAACGCAUCAUCAUUGAGACCUCGAAUUCGCACUCCAUGGCACCGCCACCACCACUCCUCCUCUUGGUUCCAGUAAUAACCCGGUCACGAGGAGACGCUACACGAUCGAGUUCCCGUGCCGGGGUCAAAAGGCAGAACGGAACCGGCCGGCAUGCACGCCCGAGUGUUGUGUCGCUCGCUCGAGAUGGAGUAUCACCUGCUGCUUGCUUUGGUAUGUGUCUCAUCAUAUCCAAGUGAGGCCUUGCUCUUCUGCUCUUCUGGCUUCUCUCUAAUCGCCUCGGAUUUAGAGGGUCCUGUGCUUAAUGAAGCUAACUAACCCACGAGUUUAAAAUCAACUGGGCUGUGGUUAGGCCCGCUCAUCACUCACUGCACGCACCUGAUUCUGAUUGCAACUGCAUCCGAUUAGAUUUGCAGGAGCAAUGCGAUGCCCAUGUUUGGUGACCUGCUGCUGAGGCUAGCUGAAGCGCAUGAUGAGCGGCGUGCGGGGCGCUUUAUUUGCCUAGCGUGACCGGAAUGUGGCACCCGAUGAUGCACGGGGCAGGAAGCAAACAAACGCCCGGGGUCCAGCACAGUGUUUCUUCAAAGGCAUCUCAUCCAACCUAGCUUGGAUCCCAAAAAAAUGUAACAAAAUUUUGGUUAGGCCCAUCCAAACCUCCUGUCAAAUCGUUUUGACAAUUGUUUUGGUGCAUCUCCAUCCCUUGUCUGAUGUGUCUCCUGUCUUUUUACUCUGCACUGCUAUUUUAAUCCAAGUACUGGCACACAGCGCAAGUCUGGGAGAUUUAGCGUUUUCUGACGUACCGUGGUCGCGUCUCUAUCUUGGCUUGCAGGUGCAAACAAACAGUGUCUCAGCUCUCAAGACAUUGAGCUGGAAGAACACUGUUAGGGUAGAACUCACUCCAAUUUACCUCAGCUCAUUCGAAAAACUGAACAGACCGUGCAGCUCCAUUUCCUUCACCUACCAGUCACCAAAUCAUGAGCUGAUUAGUGAUUACACAGUGGUUUGCCCCAAUUAGUACUGCCGGUAAUCGAACCAAACCCGACGCUGACCGCCUAGCGACCAGUAGCCGGAUACUAAUUUUCUGUUCAGUCAAAUCCAAUCGCUCGGGAUUAUAUUAACUGGAUCCCACCACGGAAGUGAUUAACACCAAUGCGCCAUCCCAUUUCCCCAGGCUCUUCUUAAGCCUCUCGCAGCUCCACACUAGCCGAGCUACAGAGCUAGUCACACGCGGUCACGCACGCUUGUCCUGCGCCGGCGCCGAGGGGGCAGGGCAUGAGAGCGACGGCACGGCGCGGCGCGGCCGGGGGCCUACCCUCGGCCAAGAAGAGGAGGAAGAAGAAGGCGCCCGCGCGCGGCUUCAUGUGCGGCUGCGGCGGCGACAAGUCGGUCGCCACCGUCCCCCGCGCCGCCGUCAGCAUUUCCGCUGUCACGACGACGACGCCGAUGAAAGCCGCCUCAUCGGCGGCGACCGCAGCGAAGGCGGCGGCGGCCGUGGCGGGCUGCCGCGACGCCGACGCCGACGGCGCGGACGCGAGCGCGGAGUGCACGCCCAGCGUGGAUUCGCUGCUGCAGCAGCUGCGCGAGCUGGAGCGCGGCGUGCGCGCGCUGGGCAUCCGGGAGCGGCACAACGACGGCGGUGGCGCGCCAAGAGCGACACAGCCGCGGCGGCACGGGCGGAGCGCGAGCGACCGGGGCGGCGGCGGGCGGCUGGACUCGGAGAGCGUUGCGGUGGUGACGGAGUCGGAGGACCCGCUGGGCGACUUUCGGCGGUCGAUGGUGCAGAUGAUCGUGGAGAACGGGAUCACCGGCGGCGCCGAGCUGCGGGAGCUGCUGCAGCGGUUCCUGUCGCUGAACGCGGCGUGCCACCACCACCUCAUCCUCCGCGCCUUCGCCGACGUCUGGGAGGAGCUCUUCGCCUCCGCCGGCGGCGUGCCACCACCACCUCCGCCGCCCGCAGAGAAGAUCUCGUACAGCAGUAGAGGUAGCAAACGUCCAGCAGCGCUGACACGUUAACCACGGCCCGUCCUGUAAGCUAAUUUCCGCCAUCCUCGGGAAUUGUUGCUGUCCGAAACACACAGUGUACGGCGUGUACAAGACUUGCACGCGUGACUUUCUGUGCCGUGACCAGAAAAUCCGAGCUCCAUUCCCGUGAGUUUCUUCCUGCGUUUCGUACAGAUCGCACGUAAAAAUUUCCGUGAUUUUUGCAUGGCGUCAAUGUCCAGUUGCGUGCUGCGCCGCCACUGAUUGACCAUACGCGUGGUACGCCCAAUGAAGGAGAUGGAGAUGGUAGAGGAGGGCGCGGAGGGAAUGCCGUGAUCUUCGCGAGGAUGCUCGUCGGUGGGAUGCAAAAGCGCGACAGGGACGAGACGACUCCAUACCAACCUGAAUCCCCUUUUGCCGAUCGUGACGAGCAGCAGGCGGCCCGGGGGUGAUGGCUACUGCGUCGGCGGCGGAGGGGAGCGCAGCCGGCGCAAAGAGAGACGUGCGCACGAAGCUCAGACUUGCUCGAUCGGUGGGACAUCGAUUCGCGGCAUAUUUGCCGGCGAUCUCAAGGAACAUUUUCUGGUCGUCUGACGUUGCCCUUCUCGAAGUCGCCGUGUGUGUCCGGGUUGGACGUGGAAUUCUGAAAGAUGCGUUUGAUGUAGAAUAUACGCGUGCACAUUCUAGCGGUCAAUAAAGAAUCACAUGGACGGAUGUGCCCAAAAGCUCCCAUGGCUUGGCUUCCGUGACUGGAAGUUGGAAGAUGCUGCACUGUUUAGUUGGAGAUCCAUGUACUGCGUUACUGAACGGUAGGUACAGGAAACCGGAUUAUAUUGGCAAGUUUCCGUUGACUUUGUUCUGGCUCCAUUCAUGGAAAUCGGUGGCAUUGUUUCACAAAAGAAGUUCCCAUGAGCUCACCGUGGCACUAGUAAAUUUUGUACGUCCUAGACUAACAUGAAAAAAAUGUUUCGUGCUGUUUCCAAAUGUUUAAAUUUCUCGUACCUUUUCUGUUCAAAUAACUGUAGACAUUUUUGUCUUAAUUUUGCGUAAAGUUGUGGGCUUCUUUCAAGUCACCACUUUUGCUCUGAAAGCCCAAUUAGUAACCAGGCCGGACACGUCGCGCAAGCCCAACACAAAACAGGCCAUCAGAUUCUCUCUGUUUGACAUUGACCCAAGCCCACGCACAUCAAGCAUCAACGGCUAAAUCAAACGGAUUUCGCAAACCCAAUGCCGCAGAGCGCACUCUAUCCCCUCGGCAAUGGCCACCGUCACGCCCCUAACCGCCUCCCCGCUCCGCGGCCACCUCCUCCACCACCGCCGCCGCGGCCGCCUCCACGCCAGGCACCAACCUCAGCCACAGCUCCGCUUAUCGGCCACCUGGCGGCUCUACUGCGUUCCGGACGGAGGCGGCGGCGAGGUCUCCGCCGCUCCCGCUCCACCAGCCGCCGAGGAGCAAGCGCCGGAAGAGCAGCCGCAUGACUUCAACCUCCUCGCUGCCAACCGCAGCGACUUCAACGAUAUCAUCAUGGUCAUUGACUCGCCCGCCGCGCGAUACCUCGUCCUGGACCAUAACAGUACGUACGGGUGGUUAAUUGAGUACUCAGUUGGACAGCCACAAAUUAAAUUUGGAUAGGUUUUCUGAUCAGUUGGAGCUCUGUGUUUGGUUGUGUUGUGCAGAGAAUGUCCACAGCAUUCUCCCCAAGACCACUGUUUGGACAAACUCCUACUGGGUAUGUACACUUGGCUAAUUAAUCAUCUAUAAACUGACUUGAAUAUUAAGACUUUUGGGCCACCAUUGGCGAAUAGAUUGCUCUAACGUUUUUUUACCUGACUUGUUACGAGCCCUUUAUAGACAUAAUAAUCUGAUACUUGAUUAUGUGGAUAUCUUCACGCAUUGGACAUUAAGCACUUGAUCAGAACAGUACUAAUAUUAUUGUUGAUACACUAGCAUCACCAAUUAUACAUGUAAAAACUUGUGAGAAAUUUUACAGUUUGUGCAUGUAAAAAACUAGUGAGGGAUUUCUCUAUGAACGAAUUUAUAUGUUUGUCUCAAAUUUUGGCUUGCGUCCUUUUUCUUUGCUGGAAUUGUUGCUGGAUGUUGAUGCUUAAUUAAUGUAUUUUUCCCUUGCAGGAUGAGUUUGUGAGCCUGCCGCCUGUUGUUCCACUCGGUCCUGUUGCACUCCUAGGUUUGGUAAAUCAUUUGAUCCAUGAAGACAAUUGCAACCUACUUUAGCUCUUAGUCAUACUUUAUAUUCUUCCUUCAGAGCUAUCGUGCAAUAGGAUAAAAUGCGUAUACUAGGGGGUUGGGAAAGAUAUUUCCGUUCUUCUGAUGAUGAUUCACCAUUUCUAACCAAAUAUACAUCACGUUCACCAUAAGGUCAAUAAGUGAUUUCUUUAGGCGAAACCAUGCCCAUCUGUUAUUUUUUCAUACUCGCUCUUCACACUCUUGCAAAACUCUAUCUUCAGUCUUCACACACUCUUCACUUUCCUUGGUUCUUUCAGGGUGCUGGGACUGCAGCACAUCUGAUGCUAAAGUUUUGGCCUUGGUUACAACUUGUUGGCUGGGAGAUUGAUCCUAUGGUGAGAACUCUUCUCAUUUGUCACUUUUUUUUGUGUAUUAAUAACAAAAUUUAUAGUUCCGAUAACUUGCCAAUUUCAAUCAUGUGAACAUAUGCUAGUGACUUCUCACAAGAACAUUAGUAAUCUAUCCUUUGUUAUAUAUGCUAAAAUUAUCUUACAGCCUUAUCUACUGUGCCUCAUGCAUAUGCUUUUGAUGUACCCAAUUUUGAUAUUGGAAAAGCUGAUCAUGUUUCAUGACAGAUAGUUGAAUUGUCAAGGCAAUAUUUUGGUAUGUCUGAUUUAGAGAAGCCCACAGAAUCUGGUGGUUCGCUUUCUGUGCGCAUUGGUGAUGCACUUUCUCCAUCAGCUACAGUUGAAGGAGGAUUUGCUGGUGAAUAACUAACCUGAUGCAAAUGUAAUACAUGUUUCAACACCUUACGUUCAAGUACAUAAUUUGAUAUCUGCAAUUAACUCCGAACUGCAGGAAUUGUUGUAGAUUUGUUUUGUGAUGGAAAGAUCAUUCCUCAGCUGCAAGAAGUAAAUAUCCUUUCCCAUCUCUGUUACUUAUUUUAUUAUUAUUUUGUAUCCCGUGAUAAUUCACAUAUUGAAUUUUUAGCUUUGAGUUAUCUUCAAUCCUAUCUAAUGAAUUUAUGAAUCAUGUAUAAGAAUGUGUAGCUCUGUUUUGGAUUAUCGACAAACUACCAUUUUUUUACUAGGUGCUGGCUUUAUUUCAAUCUUGAUACAGGUUGAAACUUGGUUGCAAAUUGCAAAAAAGCUAAUGCCCGGUGGUCGAAUUAUGGUUAAUUGUGGUGGAGCAGAUGUUGAAGAAUCUCUUUCAUCGUCCUGGGUUCAAAACCCUACAAUUAAAGCACUAUGUUCUGCAUUCCCCAGGCAGGUAAUAUGCAUUUGAUCAACCAUAUUCACUUUCACACUCCAAUUACUACUUGGUGAUAUAAUAUUUUAAAGAAGAAAUUUCUAAAUUAUUAUGUAAUUUGUGCUUGGUUUUCGUACGGAUAGCAUAUUUCCUCUCUAUCCAUUUUUUAAUACGGAUUAUCAUCUUCCAUCUGCAUUAAAUAUAAUGGACUACUUGUGAGUGAUGUCUUAUUAAAUUUUACGGGUAACCAUGUGAUUUUUGAAUAUCCAUUUUGUGAAAGUCAAAGUGUUUUGAACAUUAUGUAGUAAUUUGAAAAUAUAGAAACUAUAGUAUAUACUGUAUAGGCUUGCACAAUUAUAGAAUUAUUAGCAUUGGAUGCUAGUUUUCCUUCCUCCUGUUUUGGUCGAUUAUCCUUAUGGGGCACCGUUAUGUCACUAGCUUGCUCAAGAUUGUUUUCCUGAAAUGAGAUGAUGGUGUAUUUGCAGCUAAACUGGAAGAGGCUAUCGGAGAAAGAGAGUGUAAACUAUGUGGCACUGACGGGUCCUCUUCCAGACUUGGAUGAGUGGUCUGCCUCAGUUCCUAGCGAGCUAAGCACGAAAGUGAAACAAUGGGUGCCUUGCGAGCUUGCGUGAUGCCGGGCAUUUUCUUUUGUUCUAGUUGCACCUAAUUUGCUUCAGCAACUUGUCCAUGACCUCUGUGGCUCUCUCCAUGCUCCUUUAAUUUCUGGUGAGUAAGCUCAGCUGUCGGUGGGUGCCAUCCACAGUACUUCACUUCUGGAUCUACUAGCUUCACCAUGCGCGCCAUCGGGCACACUGAAACUCUUGUUGCUCUCGUCUUUUUUUUUUUACUUAAGGUGUAUUUAUGGCGUCAUCUGCAUCUGAAGCAAAUGCUGAAUCCAGAUGCUCUAUGGGGAUACCAGUGGAACAGGUAAGUAUGGACUCAAGGCAAUUGUUUAGAGAAUCUGGAUAGUACUUAUCUCAGGGCAAUUGUCGAGAGAAGGCAUGCCAGGACAAAUUUUGCAGCAGAAGAUUGUACAUUGGAGCCCACACUGCAGGACAAUUUUGUCAUUAGCAUUCAUGCGUGCCUUUGUUGUGUGGCAAAGUGACAAUUUUCAUUUGUGUGAACAGCUGUCCAGUAGCAUUCACUGACAAUGACUGUCCGUUAGCAUCAACACUGAUGGCUACAUGUUAUUGGUUCUCUGAUGUUGCUGUGGAUGAGCUGAACCAAAAUUUGACAUACAUACAUGUACUGAUGUACCCAGCGUUCAUCAGGUGAGCUUCCAGUUGCCGGGUUAACAUCUUUCUGAUGUCAUGUUGCUAUCGUCUUACCAAGAUGAAAAAAAGUCAGUUCCGCGAUGGAGCCUCUGACCCAACACACUGCCAUUUCUGCUUCAAGCUCCUAGCUCCCCCACCAUCUCUGUCCUGCUGGAGGCUUGGCCUGUAUCUCCCUCUGCCUCCGUCGCCGGAAUGCGCUCGACGUCUCCGCAAAAUCGCAAAUCGUCUCUUGGUUGUGCUUCAAGCAAAUCGCAAAUGGCCGGUGAGCUGCCUGGUCCCUGCCAUUGCCAGCGCCCGGCGGGCACCGGCAGCCAGGUCUCGGCGUCUCGCACGGUCACGGAGCACGAUGCUAACCGCUGACGAAUGUUCCGUGAAGAAUGUCACCGGCUCACCGGGACAGUUGAGCCGAGCGGUAACUACCGUGCACCGCAUCACGAGAGGCACGAGCGCAACCUCGGAACGCUACAAGAUCUGACGGCGGCGACGCUCCCCUCGUGACCACCCCCCGUGGGGCUACCACUCUGACACCCGCAGUCCUCUCCUCCCCCCAAAGCAAAGCCAAGCAAAGGCAAAGCCCCCGUCCGGCGCCGGAAGUCCUGGACCAAAACCCGCCACAGCCUUGGCCCCGCCCCGCUCCCGAUCCGGCCGCCCCAAGCCGAGCCAGCCAGGAUGGCCCAUUCGCCGGCGCCCAGCGGCGGCGGGGGGCAGCAGCCGCUGGUCGUCUCGCUCAACUGCCUCGACGACCCCUCGCUGGAGCAGGAGGGCCUGGCCGGCGUGGCCGCGGUCGAGCACGUGCCCCUCUCCGCCGUCGCCUCGGGCCGCGUCGAGGCCGCCGCCGCCGUGCUCCUCCCCUCCCUCGCCUUCCUCCCGCGCGCCGCCCAGCGCCGCCUGCGGCCCUGGCAGCUCCUGCUCUGCCUCGGCUCCGCGGACCGCGCCGCCGACGCCGCCCUCGCCGCCGACCUCGGCCUCCGCCUCGUCCACGUCGACGCCAACCGCGCCGAGGAGGUCGCCGACACCGUCAUGGCGCUCAUCCUCGGCCUGCUCCGCCGGACGCACCUGCUCUCGCGCCAGGCCUCCUCGGCCCCGGCCGCGGUCGCCGCCGGAUGGCUCGGCUCCGUCCAGCCGAUGUGCCGCGGCAUGCGGCGAUGCCGCGGCCUCGUGCUGGGCAUCAUUGGCCGGUCCGCCGCCGCCCGCUGCCUCGCGACGCGCAGCCUCGCAUUUCGGAUGAGCGUGCUCUACUUCGAUCCGCGCUAUGUGGUAACGGAUCUGGAACUUCCUACGCUUCUAUUGGUUGAUCCGCCUAUUAGUUUCUAUUAUUAAAGAAUUGCACGGUUCUAAAACUUUACCCUCAUGCUUGCAUUGCUGGUUUAGGUAAUUUCGACUGUUUUUUUUGCUCGAUGUUAUCUGCUGCCAGUGUCUCACAAGUGAAAGUGGGUAGUGUUUUAUGCUAAAAUGAGUUAGUUUGUGAUCAUUAGUUUCUGAACUUGUAAAAGGAAUUUUGUAUCUGAUACUGAAUUGGCAUGAUCUCAUCUCACCCUUAGUUAAUUUGGAGGGGAUUGCUGUAUAGGCUAUGUACUUUUGAGUGCUAGAUUGCUACUGACUAGUAUAUCUUUUCUUUUCUUUGGAUAACGAAGUUUUGUGAACAGCAGUAACAUAUGAUAAAAGCAACACUAAUCAUAUGGCAGACAAGGAAUCGUCUUUGUUAGUUUUUGCUUUAGUAUAAUGCAUGAAGUAGCCAAGUAGGGGAUGGCAGCAUGAGAAUUAACCUAAAGUAAUUCUGCGAGUUACAAUAAAUAUCAUUCAUCAAAUGCAAUCUGGUUGUGUUACAUUAUUGAUAUGAUCACCAAGUUCGUAACUUAAUAUUCUCAGCCUAUUCCUCAUGAUACAGAACCAUGAUAUUUAGGCUACUCUUUAACUCACUUUUGAACUGAACAGGAUGUCGUAUGUUAAAAAUACUGCUUUGAAUAUUCUGACAUUUUGCACAUCUGUUUAGGCCAAUGGGGAAACAAAGAGGCCUUCUAUUGUGUUUCCUUCUGCAGCGAGGAGAAUGGAUACUCUCAACGAUUUAUUAGCAGCAAGUGACCUUGUUUCACUGCAUUGUGCGUUAACGAAUGACACCAUGCAUAUACUUAACGCAGACUGUCUGCAGCACAUAAAACCUGGUAAGAUUAUUCUUUUUAAAUUAAUUGCAUUAACAGAUCUCCGUGAUGUCUGAAGUAGUGCAUAUCCUAUCUUGAAUAUAGUUGUAUGACAUCAUAUCAUUGAAUGUUUUGAAUCCUGCAGGAGCUUUCAUUGUCAAUACUGGUAGUUGCCAGCUUAUAGAUGACUGUGCACUCAAACAGCUCUUGAUUGAUGGUACCAUAGCUGGUUGCGCAUUGGAUGGUGCUGAAGGUCCACAGUGGAUGGAAGCAUGGGUAUGCAAAUUAGAAGCAGAAUAUUGAAUAAUGUUUGUAAAUGGUCAUUUAGGACGAAUAAGUUUAUCUAAAAUCAAACUGUUCGUCAUUUGUGAUAAUAAAUUUUACCUGAUGUUUCUAUAACUAAGGUCCUCUCUGAAGCUAGAUAAAUGUUUCAUUAUUUGAAUGAGAUUAUACUCCUAGUAAUAUCUGCUUAUCAUUUCAGAGUUAAAAUUCUCAGUUGAGAUAUAAUGUAAAGUGGUAUUGUAAUUGGGAACUUGCUUUAUGUGCUACAGUUGGCCUUCUCUGUUCAAUUGGCUAAUAGUUAUGUUCUUGCAGAUAAGAACAAAUAGCCGGUGUCCUUUUUGCACUGGUAUGGUUGCAUUACAUUUUGUUCUGCAAAGUGAUGGCUAAUCCUUAUUGUUUACAGGUGAGGGAGAUGCCAAAUGUUUUAAUUCUUCCACGGAGUGCAGAUUACAGCGAAGAAGUGUGGAUGGAAAUAAGAGAGAAAGCAAUCACUAUGUUACAGUCCUUUUUCUUUGAUGGUAUUCUUCCAACUAGUGCAAUUUCUGAUGAAGAUGAUGAAAUAAGUGAAGCUGGAAAUGAAGAUGAUCAUCUAGACACACAGGCAAAAGAUAGCCAGUCACAGAUUUUUGAUGCUGAAAUAGAUGAAAGCCACUUAACUCUGGAGUAUGAAAAGAAAAGAGCCGUGUCCCACCAUAAAGAGCCUCAGGCUUCUGGAAAAUCUGUAAACAUUGGCUCCCGAUCUGAAGGAAGGCGUAGUCGAUCAGGAAAGAAAGGAAAAAAGAGGCCUGCUCAUCGCAGAUCUCAGCAGAAACCUGAUGACUUGUCUGCUGUAGAGAGUGAUAGUAAUUAUUCCUCACGGAGAGAUGAUGACACUGCAAUGAGUAGCAGGGACCAGGUUGUAAGUUCCAGUUCACGAUUUGCCUCUCCUGAGGACUCAAAAUACAAGCAGAAAUCUCUUGUUGAUUCACCAAUGGAAAUAACAUCUGAAAAGAAGGUGCCUAUACUGCUCAGUAGAAAAUAUCCUGAUAAACUGAAAGAUGGUUUUGUUGUUGCAUUGAGAGCAAGAGAUAAUUCAGGGUACCAUGUUGCGAGACAGAGAGUAGUUGGUGGUGGUGGCUGGAUUCUUGAUGUUGUGUCAAAUGCUACAAACAGAGAUCCUGCUGCUCAGUUCCUAGUUACUUUCAAAAACAAGGUAUGUUUAUAACAACCACCCUCCUCUUCCAUUUUCAUGCGUGCUUUGGUUUUAUGCACAUGCAGGCCCUGAUAAGGCACGUACUUUUCAGGAUACUAUGGGGCUACGAUCCUUUGUUGCUGGUGGUAAACUACUGCAGGUACAUCUCUCCGACUCUAUGGCCAGACCUUCACGCACUACCUGACCUGACCCGCCCGGAAAUAGUUUGAUGAGACCUGACUUGCCCUGCCUGAAAAUAGCUUGAUUGGACCUGACUCGACCAGUGCAUUGGGUAGGCUUGGGCCAAGAUUUUCGCCCUGUUAUGAAAUCUGAAAAUACUGUAGACCCAACCCGGCCUGACCAAUAACUGGAUCAGGACCGAAUCUGAUUUUUGCAGCCUGCUGUUGGUCCUGGGCCCGACUAGGCCCACAAAACGUCAUUUUUUUAGUUCGAGUGUUCGACCCGAACCCGACCUGGCCCAUUCUAUGACCAGGUCUAUCUAUGGCUACUUGACUAGUAGUCUACUAAUUAUAUGUUGCUAUGAGAAGUUUAGGACAGAAAUCGUGACACUAGUAGCUGAGCUGAUAUUACACAAUCUGAUGAUGUCUCUUAACAUGAACUAUAAUUAUGAAAAACCUUACAUAACUCAGUUAAAAGAUUUUUUGUAUGUAAGUUGACAUCCACAUGUGUAUGAACUGUCUAGAGCACAUGCAUCACACCUAAUUUGUUGACCCACUACCUACUUAAUGGCCACAUUUUAAUUUUGAUGUCGACCUGUUUGCUGCUUCUGUCAGUGUUGCCUUUCUAACACGAACACACACAAGUUUGUGCCUUGGAAAUUUGGAAUCCUCUACUAUAUACAAUAUGCGUUUACGUUACCAGCUUUAAAGUAGAGGGCUGAUUGCUGUAAGCCAGUAAUGUGGAAAGAGGGUCUGCCUCCUGCCAGUACCAUUUUUCUACUUUCCUUUCCCAGCCCUUUGUUUUAAUUAAUAUCAUUCUGUAGUGUCAGAAUAGAUUCUGUGGGAGCUAGUCAAAAAGUUUGAGAAAUAGAGGCAACCUUCUGGCUUGUUUUUGAUGCUUACGUCUGCUGAUGUUCUUAUGAAGAUUUUAUUUCAAUACAUUAACAGAUUAAUAGGAAGACGGAGUUUGUAUUUGCAAGCCAUUCUUUCGAUGUUUGGGAAAGCUGGAUGCUGGAUGGUUCUUUGCUGGAGAGUUGUAAGCUUAUCAACUGCAGAAAUCCAUCGGUAAGCACCCUCCUAAUUGGUGCUAUAAAUAAGAAAAACUAAGAUGUAGCGGUAUCGGUUCUUAAUAGAAAUAGACUGUAGUAAACCUGAAAACCUGGGAUGUCGUAAAUUGUUAAUACUCGUCUCCCAACUGAUUGUUUUUUCCCCCUUUCUGUAGGCUGUUCUGGACGUGUGCAUUGAGAUCCUUGCAGCUGCAAGUGAAGAAGAUGGAGUCACUCGGUGGCUUGAUUAGCCACGCUGGCCGCUGGGGGCUGCAAAAAUGAACUGACUGAUCAUUACUGUUUGGUUCUGCUUGCUUCCGGUUUUUUCUUUCUGCUCAAAUUUUGGUUUCUCUGAUACAGGAACCCCUGUAGCUGUAGGCACAUCAUGUGCACAUCACGUUUGUUAGUACUGUCGUUAUUGUCGUGUAGCCAUCCUCGUGCCACACGCUUCUGGCGAUGCAAGACUGCAUAUCGUGUUAGUAAUAGGAGUACACAUGCACAAGCGUGGUUGAUGCUGACUUAGAGCGUACAGGUAAACUGCUGAAGGCAGCCGCUGCUGCAUUUUAACAAGGAAAUUUUGACACGAGACAAAUGGUCUCCCUGGUAGGCUGACGCUGCACGGUUCGCUGAACGCCGGCCAAAUCCCGGCAACCUAUAUGUGCAGGGCAAGCCGCCGGACGCCGGGCAAUUACCGGCAUCCUAUAAUUCUCCGACCACAAGUCCUAUGAUUUUUCUGCAGAGAUGGAUUUAUACACCCACCAACCCCGCUAGGCCGCGCUUUCAUCUGUAGAAAAAUUGACUACGGCUGUGGUGUCCUUUCAGGCAGACUUCACUAACAUUGUCCAUGUUCUUACCGUGAGAGAUAAAAUUUUGCAGGUUUUAGAGCUUCUUCAUCCAACGGCAGGUUCACUUGCACGCCCAUAAUUCAUCUGUACUGCACGAUGCAUUUUCUUGGCUUCUUCUGAGUUUCCAAUCAUCUGGCUGGGGUCGUUUGAAUAGGACCUUUGAUCCCAAAACGGCUUCGGAUUUUAGAAAACACUAGCAGUAUGCUCGUGCGUUGCAACGAAAAAAAACAUCGCGCAACUUGUCGGGGGGAAAUAUCAACGGUCCCCUAAUACGCAGCUUAAGGAAACAAACCUGAAGGCCCGGGCCCACCAAAAUGUGAUCAAGUCCCCGCCUCGUUCGACCCCAGCAUCAGGACCGGGAGCACCCGACCCCCCUCCGCAGGGUUUCCGCCUCGACCGACCGCGCCCCCAGGGUCGGGAGCCCCCGACCCUGUACCACAAAGGUUCCGCCUCGCCCGACCCCGAGCGAAGGAGUCGGGCACGUUGAGGCCCACGGGUCAGAGUCCUCCUCGGAUACGUUCCGCGUAGACAGGACAAAUCCGGUGGGGCCCCCCGUCGGCCUCACCAUAAAUGCGCCGCAGAGAAGGCAGAGCACAGGGCGACCGCGCCCCCCACGCGACCCGGCGCAAGUACCCGCGCACAACCAUCCUGUGCGAGCUACAGUACUGGCGGCCAGCCCCCAUUCGUCACGAAGUACUCAUGAUCUGCGGCGACCGGAGCAGAGCAAGGGGCAGCCCCGUCCUCGGGUCCCGCACGCCCUCGGGCCCCGCGCAAGUGGCAAAACAGGCGUGAAGCUUCCCCUCUCUACAAGCCAUCGUCAGAGCGGCGGUAUCCACCGUCCUCCCUAACGGACGGCAAGGUGACGACGAAACCCCCUCAUCAUGAUCUAUCCUGAUACCUACGAACGUCGAAGUAGCUACCUGCGAGGAGCUGCUGCACUUGGCAUCCGGCGGCGACUCCUUCGAGCAUGCACGACGGCACGCGUUCAGGGUCGGCAGGACGUCGAGCGCCAUGGGCCCCUGCCCUCCUUCCCGCCAGACCUUUUUACCACCUUACUCUUUACCUUUUACCCGAUUCCCAAUUGUAACUCCGGCCAGCCCCUUGCGAUAUAAAAGGCGGAACCCAGAGCCGGAGAGGAGGAGGGAUCGGCAUCUCGAGAGAUCAACACUCCACCUAGAACAGAAGAGACCUGGGUCCAAUCCCUCUCUCGCCCGUCUGUAACCCCCUACUACAGAACCCCUGCGCAGGCAACACGAGUAUCCUCGAUACUGGACGUAGGGCUCCCUUUGCCCGAACCAGUCUAAUCCGUGUCUCCCGUGCAACCAUCUGAGGCUUACGCGCAUAAAAGAAAUUCACUAGUCUAAGUCCUAAUCCGCUGAUCUUGACAACGACAGUUGGCGCGCCAGGUAGGGGACCUUUGCGCGUACAUCACCAAGCCUCAGAUGGCCAAUCGCGAUCGCGGUUUCGCUCCGGGCUCCCUGAUCCGCUUCGGGAGCCUGGACUUUCUGGCCACCGGGAACGGGAUCGAGCUGAUCCCUGUCCACGUCCUGCCCACUCGUCCUGCUGCCCUCGGCACCACCGCCAGGACGACGACGACGAGAGGCCGGACACCAGCCGGAAGGGCCUCACCAGAAGGAUGGCUCUUCGGGCUACGCAACGCCGCGGGGGCCCAUGGCCGCCUCCUAACGCGGUCCCUCGCCACGUCACCCGCGAGCAACGAGCUCGUAGGCGUGGCAAGGACAGCCUCCGACACUAGCUCUAGUGACGAGAAUCCUGACCCCUCGCGCGAGUGCUUCAUGGCUGACGCACACUCCGAGGGGUCCAACGGCGAUGGUGCCGAGGGGAGGCAACGGCCUCCCCCCUCGCGCGCCGCAGCUACGACUGGGGCCCUACCCAGGGCGCCAGAGGGCUCUCUACUGCCGGAAGAGCACAUGGGCGCACGCCGAGAAGUAGAGCACCCCCACCACGAGGGGGGAGCACGACAACGAGCGCGCGACGUCCAGGAACGCAUCUGCGCGGAUGGAGAGCGUCCACCGCUCUUUGCCCGCGCCAGCCAGAACGUCGCCGCUGCGGCGGUGCUGCUCCGACAGCUCCCCGAGCCGGCAACGCCUGAGGAGCGACGGGCGCGCCAAGAGAUGCGUAACCUACUCGAGUGCGCCGCCAUCCAGCAGGCGGAAAGUUCGGCGUCUCGACGACGCGACCAGAACGCCAGUAGGGCAACGCAGGACGCCCCCCCGGAGCGGCGGGGGGAAUCUGUCCAUCAACCCCCUCCGGAGGCGAAUCCAGCUGCGACCGCCCAGCGAGCACCGCCACUCGCGAUGGGCGAGGCCCGAUCCAUCCACCAGCGCGUCGGUCCCAUUCGCGACGCCCGCGACACACUGAACGCGCGGAGACGUUCCCGCGCGGACAGGGCGGACGGGGCGGACCGUGUUUACCACGUCCACCGUGGUGGACGCUAUGACAGUGGGGAGGACCGCAGUCCGAGCCCUGGAGCAGCUGGACCUCGAGCUUUCUCUGCGCGCAUCCUGAAUGCGCCCUUCCCGCCGCGCUUCCGGCAACCUACGAGCUUGGCCAAAUACUCGGGGGAGACCAACCCUGGAGUAUGGCUCAGCGAUUACCGACUCGCCUGCCAGGCCGGCGGGGCGGACGAUGACCUGUUCAUCAUCCGCAACUUACCUCUGUUUCUGGCAGACUCCACGAGAGCCUGGCUAGAGCACAUCCCUUCAGGACGCAUUCGUAACUGGAACGACCUGAAGGAGGUUUUCGUAGGAAACUUCCAAGGGACGUACACUCGCCCUGGCAACUCCUGGGACCUCCGGAGCUGCCGCCAGGGGGCGGAAGAAUCCCUCCGGGACUAUAUCCGGUGCUUCUCCAGAAAGCGCACCGAGCUCUCCAACGUCGCCGACGCCGACGUCAUAGGAGCUUUCCUAGCAGGGACCUCAUGCCGGCCCCUCGUCCACGAACUAGGGCGCCGAGGUCCACGAACCACGGAGGAGCUCCUCAACAUCGCCACCAGCUAUGCCUCCGGCGAAGAGGCUGUCGGAGCGAUCUUUGAUCGUUCCAAAGGCAAGGCAAAGCGGGAGGAGGACGCCGGCGAAGGCACCUCCAACCGCCAGCAACAGAAGAAGAAGAGCAAGCAGCGGCGCGAGGCCCCCCCUCGUGGCCGCAGUCGAACGAAAGCGAGGGCAGCCGCCCCCCGAGGGCACACCCGGCUUCUUCGACAAGCUGCUCGAGGGACCGUGCCCGAACCACGAGUUCCCCGUCAAACACGCCUACAAAGACUGCAACCUCAUGAAGAGGUUCUUCGUGGGCAACCCGGUGAAGGGCGAUUGGAAACGGAAGCCCGAUGAGGAAAAGAAGGGCGACGAGGAGAAGGAAGACGGCUUUCCUAAAGUGGACGGCUGCUUUAUGAUCUUCGGGGGCCCCGCUGCGUACGACACCAGGCGCCAGCACAAGCUAGAGCGUCGGGAGGUUUACGCCGCCGAGCCGGCGACCCCGACUUUCCUGGAUUGGUCCGCGCCGGCCAUCACCUUCGACAGAUCCGACCACCCUGGACGCGUCCGGCAUCCAGGGCGCUAUCCUCUCGUCGUCGACCCCAUCAUUGGCACGACGCGUCUUACCAAGGUACUCAUGGAUGGGGGAAGCGGCCUCAACCUCCUCUACGCUGAAACCCUCGACGCCAUGGGGAUCGACCGCUCCCGUCUCCGUCCUAGCAAGGCCCCCUAUCAUGGCGUUGUGCUAGGGAAGCAGGCGACGCCCCUCGAGCAGAUCGACCUGCCCGUCACGUUUGGGACCCCUUCCAAUUACAGGAAGGAGGUCCUCACCUUCGAGGUGGUGGGCUUUCGCGGAACCUACCACGCCAUCCUGGGCCGCCCAUGCUACGCAAAGUUCAUGGCAAUCCCCAACUACACCUACCUCAAGCUCAAGCUGCCGGGGCCCAAUGGAGUCAUCACCGUCGGCACGACCUUCCAGAAGGCAUACGAGUGCGACGUCGAGUGCUGCGAGUACGCGGCUAUCACCGUCUCGGGCGACAUGGUGGCCCAGCUUGAGGAAACCGUUGAGGACCGGUCCGACGCCAAGCAGUCAGAAAUCCCCUUCAAGCCCACCGAAGGUAUCAAAGAAGUCCCCCUCAAUCCCGGUUGUUCCAGCGCAGGGGUGGUGCGAAUCAGCGCGGCCCUAUCUCCCAAAUAGGAAAGCGCGCUCGUCGGCUUCCUCCGCGCAAACAACGAUGUCUUUGCGUGGAAGCCCUCGGACAUGCCAGGCAUCCCGAGAGAAGUCGCCGAGCAUUCCCUGAACAUCAGGGCCGGCUCUAAACCGGUGAAGCAGGGCUUGCGCCGUUUCGACGAAGAAAGGCGCAGGGCCAUUGGCGAAGAACUCGAAAAGCUCCUGGUGGCUGGCUUCAUCAAGGAAGUACACCACCCCGAGUGGUUGGCCAAUCCUGUUCUUGUACCGAAAAAGAAUGGGAAAUGGAGAAUGUGUGUCGAUUAUACUGGUCUCAACAAAGCGUGUCCAAAGGAUCCGUUCCCUUUGCCGCGUAUAGACCAAAUAGUCGACUCGACAGCCGGGUGCGAAACACUCAGCUUCCUCGAUGCAUACUCCGGCUACCACCAAAUCGCGAUGAAGGAGGCCGACCAGCUCGCCACCUCCUUCAUCACCCCCUUCGGCCCCUACUGCUACGUCAAGAUGCCAUUCGGCCUCAAAAACGCGGGGGCUACCUUCCAGCGAUGUAUGCUUAAGUGCUUUGGAGAUCUCGUCGGGCGAACCGUUGAGGCUUAUGUUGACGACAUCGUGGUCAAAUCCAGGAAGAGCGAUCAGCUUGUUCCCGACCUGGAGUUAGCCUUCGAAAGGCUAAGGGAUAAGCAUAUCAAGCUUAACCCAGAAAAAUGCGUGUUCGGUGUCCCAAGGGGCAUGCUGCUAGGCUUCAUCGUCUCCGUACGUGGCAUCGAGGCGAACCCGGAGAAGAUAGCGGCCAUCAGCGGCAUGGGGCCGAUCCGGAACAUGAAGGGAGUGCAACGCGUCAUGGGAUGCUUAGCAUCCCUAAGUCGCUUCAUCUCGCGCCUCGGUGAGCGAGGACUCCCCCUCUAUAGGCUCCUGAAGAAAUCCGACCGCUUCGAGUGGACCAGCGAGGCGCAGGAGGCGCUUGACCGGCUCAAGGACCUCCUGACAAAGGCCCCGAUCCUGGUUCCGCCGGCCGACGGUGAGACCCUCUUACUCUACGUCGCGGCAACCACCCAGGUGGUCAGCGCGGCCCUAGUGGCGGAGCGGGAGGAGGAGGGGCACGCUCUUAAGGUGCAACGCCCGGUGUACUUCAUCAGCGAGGUGUUGUCCGAAUCCAAGUCACGAUACCCGCAGAUCCAGAAGCUGGUCUACGCCAUCCUCAUCACGAAGAGGAAGCUGCGUCACUACUUCACCUCCCACCCGGUAACGGUUGUUUCCUCAUUCCCGCUUGGUGAAGUAAUCCGGAACCCGAAUGUGACAGGAAGGAUCGCGAAGUGGGCGCUCGAGCUAUUGGAUCAGGGUAUUACCUACGUCCCCCGCACCGCCAUUAAGUCCCAGGUACUCGCCGAUUUCGUGGCCGAGUGGACAGAGGUACAAGCCCCAGCGGCGAUAGAAAAGCAGGAGUACUGGACGAUGUACUUCGACGGGUCGCUAAUGAGGGCCCGCGCCGGAGCAGGCCUCGUCUUCGUCUCCCCACUGGGCGUGCGCAUCAGGUACAUGAUUCGCCUCCAUUUUCCUGCAUCCAACAAUGUCGCUGAGUAUGAAGCCCUUCUCAACGGGCUUCGCAUCGCCAUCGAGCUGGGCAUCCGUCGACUGGACGUCCGAGGCGAUUCCCAGUUGGUCGUCGAACAAGUCAUGAAAGAGUGGAGCUGCCAUGACCCAAAGAUGGCCGCCUACUGCAACGAGGUACGUAAGCUCGAGGACAAGUUCGACGGGCUGGAGCUCAAUCACGUCGCAAGGCGCUUCAACGAAGUCGCCGACGAGCUCGCUAAGGCGGCGUCUGGCCGGACGCCCGCCCCCGACGGCGUCUUCGUUAGCAACCAGCUGAAGCCUUCGAUCCGCUACCCGGAGCCAGCAGGGGUCGGCGGGGCAUACCCAGCCUCGGGGUCGGGAUCCGGGUCAGGGGAGGUCGGCAAUACGCCACCUAUCCGCGACCCAAACACCAAUCCCGAGGGAAACAACGCCGUCCCGCCCGACCCGGCCGCGGAAGCCAAGCCCUCCGACCCCACGGUUAUGGAAAUCGAGGCGGGUCCCGCGGCGGGGGCCGACCCCCCGACCGAUUGGAGAGCCCCGUACCUCGAGUACCUUAUCCGAGACGCGCUCCCAACUGACAAGACCGAAGCCCGCAGGAUCACGCGCCGAGCGAAAUCCUUCGCCAUCAUCAACCAAGAGCUUUACAAGCGAAGCCAUACGGGGAUCCUCCAGCGCUGCAUCCCGAUCGAGCAGGGAAGGGCGCUGAUCCAGGACAUCCACGCCGGGGCCUGCGGUCACCACGCUGCGCCAAGGACGCUGAUAGGCAAUGCUUUCCGGCAAGGUUUCUACUGGCCAACCGCGGUCGCGGAUGCUACCCAGGUAGUCCGCACUUGCGAAGGAUGCCAAUUCUUUGCCCGCCAAACCCAUCUGCCCGCACACGCGUUGCAAACCAUCCCCAUCACGUGGCCGUUCGCGGUCUGGGGGUUGGAUCUUGUUGGACCCUUCAAAAGGGCGCCCGGGGGCUUCACCCACCUACUCGUCGCUGUCGACAAGUUUUCCAAAUGGAUCGAAGCAAGGCCUGUGGCGCAGAUCAAAUCCGAGCAGGCGGUACAAUUCUUCACCGACAUCAUCCACCGCUUCGGGAUCCCGAACUCCAUCAUAACCGACAAUGGUACGCAGUUCACCGGAAAGAGAUUCCUCCAGUUCUGCGACGACCACCACAUUCGAGUGGAUUGGGCGGCAGUUGCGCACCCCCGCACGAACGGGCAAGUCGAACGAGCCAAUGGCAUGAUACUCCAGGGUCUCAAGCCACGGAUCUUCGACCGCCUUAAAAAGUUCGGCGGACGAUGGGUGGCGGAACUCCCAGCAGUCCUCUGGAGCCUGAGGACGACCCCCCAGCCGGGCAACGGGAUUCACCCCGUUCUUCAUGGUUUAUGGGUCCGAGGCCAUCCUGCCCACCGAUCUGGAGUUCGGAUCACCAAGGGUAAAAGCAUACGACGAACAGGGAAACCAGGCGUCGCUCAAGGACGCACAAGACCAACUCGACGAGGCGCGAGACGUGGCCCUCCUGCAUUCGGCUAAGUACCAGCAGGCCCUACGGCGUUACCACAGCCGCAGGAUACAAGGUCGUGCCUUCAACGUUGGAGAUCUAGUGCUCCGCCUCGUCCAAGACAACAGGGGUCGGCACAAGUUGACUCCCCCUUGGGAAGGCCCGUUCAUCAUCGCACAGGUGCUACGGCCAGGCACCUACAAGCUGGCAACUCCCGACGGGCGAAUCUUCAGCAACGCCUGGAACAUACAACAGCUAAGACGCUUCUAUCCAUAGCUCUUGUUCAUAAUUUAUACAUAGCUUUGCCCCCGUUUUCGUUUAAGCUCAGGGGUAUCCGACCCUGGCCUCGUCCCAAGGUCGCAUACCCCUCGGGGGCUACCAGUUUUGUUCUUCUGCUAAAAAGAAACCCUGAGCCACCUUGGCUCAGGCCUUUUCGUUUAAGCUCAGGGGCAUACCCCUCGGGGGCUACCGGUUUUGACCUUCACGAAACAAGAAGGUUUUUUCUUUUAAGCUCAGGGGUAUCCGAUCCUGGCCUGGCCCCAGGAUCAAACACCCCUCGGGGGCUAUCGGGGGCUCCGACCCCAGCCGCUGGGCACCGCUAAAAAGAAAACGUUUUUUCUUCUUUCAGAAAACCGGCCACUCCCUUUCGAAAAACCUUUGGCUACAGAAAGAUAAGGAUGCGUGAACGGUACUCAGCCAAGUUGCGAUCGGACUGCGAGAAGCCUACGCCCCAGCGGCUACGGUACCUUCGCUCAUCAAAAACUUACUGACGCACCCGGCAACGCAUCCAAACGCUUUCAAAAAACCAAAGGAAUAACAAAGGGAAACGGUUUCCUUAGCGAAAUAAAAAGUCAUAAGAACAGGCCCGUAUGGCCAACGCAAACAAGUUCGAAACGACUGACUUAAAUACAAACGUCUUUUGGGCACAUGCCCGAUGCAGUUAAUUAACAGGAGGGUCGGACGGAGCGGUAGUCCCAGGGUCGGCUGGAGCGACGGUUUCAGGGUCGGCGACGGCGGCGGCUUCAGGGUCGGCGGCGGCAGGGGCCUCGGGGCCGGCAGGAUUGGCUUCAGGGUCGGAUGGGGGAACGGCUUCAUCCUCCAGAAGCUUCGCGAGGGCCUCCGCCGGCGCAGUCACCGCGGAGUCGAUCUCGUCCAGCUCGGCGUCGGUGUAGCCGAUGCAAUACCCCUCACUCAUCCCGACAAAGUUAAUGUCGGCAUAGUGAGAGCCGAAGACCCCGAAGGCGCGCCGCACACCAAGGUGAAGCGCGUCCACGGCAAUCUCACGACGACGACGGCGCACCUCAAGAACACGGGUCAGCAGCGAGCUCGACUCUUCUUCCGGAGCGACGCCGAAGUCCUCGCAGACGACGCGGACCGCAUCCCGCAAGGCGCCAUGCUCGCCGCGCUCCUUGUCGAGCAAAGCCUGCAACUUGGCAAGGUCCUCUGCAGGAGCCGAUCAAGAAACCUCACCAAGUUAAAAGAAACGAAACACCAACAGCACGGAAAUACAGAAGCAGAAAGAGCCUCACCGUCGGCCUUGGCCUUCAGCUCGUGUUCCCGGGCGACACUGAGGGACACGGCGGUCUGGAGCCCGUCCACCUGCAAACGGAAUUGGUCGCGUUCCGCUCGAAGGGCUGCGUUCUCCCCCCUCAGCCGCGCCAGUUCCUCGGCGUCCCGGCGGGCCUGCUCGGUAGCAGCUGCUCUUAGCCCCUCGGCGUCAUGGCGCGCCUUUUCCAUGGCGGCCUGGAAUUCCUCAAGGUCGAGGCGGGCCUUCUCUGCGACAGCCUGGAGCUUGGCCUCGGCACGCCGCGCCCCCUCUAGCGCCGCCUGCUCGCGCCCCUCCAGGUCGCGAACGGCCCCCUGGGCAGCACCGAGCUGCAGGGCCAGACUCCUGGAACGCUCCCUCUCGGCGAUGUAGUGCUCCCAGAGUUUCCGCUGCCGCCGGAGGAAGUUGGAUUUCUCCAGGCUGGCCUCCUGAAGAGCCUGCAAAGCAACAUGACGGUAAGACAAGAAAGUAAAAAGAAAGGAGCUUAUCACCGAGCGGCGGAAACGAACAUACCUGGUUGCCAGGGACUACGGUGUCAGCCAAGGCUCCCAACGCCGAGGUCAGCGCCGCUUGAGCCCGGGCGACGCCGCCAUGCACCACCUGCCACUUAUGCCACUCAGCAGCAUCGUCCAGUGCAUAAAGGCGCCGCGGCGGAUCGUCGCGGGAUGACCAGCGGAGGAUGUGCCCUCUCCACGCCCCGGGAACGGAGGAAGCCGAGGGCGGAACGGGGCCCGACUCUGACGUCGUCGCCGAUGACGACAUCACGACGCCAGAGAUCCCCGGGUCUACCGACGACUCCGGUGCCUGCACAACCGUCGCCACCGCGGCCGCCGACGACACCUCUGUGGGCACAUCCGCCUCGGCCGCCGGAAGCACCCCCGUGGGAGCAGCCGGGACGGAGACCUCGCCUUCCGGCACCGGUACCUCCACCGCCGCCGCGCCCUCGGGGACCAGCGCCCCCUCUGCCUCCGAUCUCGCCACGUCAGCAGGGGCAUCCGCCCCACCCACCGCCGUCUCCGCAUCCUCCGCCUCGUCGGCGUCGAGGUCAAUCACCUCCCCGGCUUGUGGGCCCGGAGGAAUCGCGGCCCGGGCCGGAGGAACGACCGGUUGGGCCGCGGGCGGAGUGGGGUCCGCUUCCCCUCCGGCGGCUGACCCCGCCGCCGUCCCGACGACCGGCCCCCCAGCGACCACCUCCGCUGGGAGACCUGCGGCCACGCCAGGAGCCCCGCCAGUCGCCGCUGGCGGGGCGGCGGCCCGUCCCCCAGAGGAGGACGACGACCGCAGCAUCUUCUUGGGCGCCAGCCGCGGGCUGACGCCACGGGGAGAACUGCUGCAACGUCGACGAAUAGGCCUCAAAUCGAAACAUAUGGAAGGAAAAAGGAAAAAUGACAUGCGAAGAGAGUCAACUUACGCCCUCGAAGCGCAGGGGCGACGUACGCGCUUCGACUCGGAGCCAGACGCCGACCCCGGGGCGUCUGGCAGUGGCCGCUUGUCGCCACCCCGUUGCCCCCCGCCAGCAGGCACGGUGGGGGGGGGGCAGCCCCCACGGAUCCCCGAGGAGCCCCCCGAGCGGACUCCUGGGGGCGCCCCGCACCGGACCCGAAACUACGGUAGAGGCGGGCUCUGAAGGCCCCUGAGGGACGCUCCGGCUCGGCGCCGGGGCGACAUCCCUCGCCGGCAGCAAAGGAGCACCCCCGCGCCUGCUCCUGGGGAGUGCCCUGGGACGGUCCUGAAGGGGUGCCCCGCGUCCCCCUCUGGGGAGGAUCCUGUGCCGACCCUCGGGGGACGCCCUGCGUCGCCCCCUGAGGAGCGGUCCGCGCAGGCUCUGGGAGCACGCGCUGCGCCGACCCCUGAGGCCCGGCCCCUGGACCAGGGGGAGCCGGAUCCCUCACAGGCGCUCCCGCCGCCGCACCCCCUGCCGCCGUCUGCGGGGGUGCGUCGCGAAUCAUUAAAACCCCCGAACGGGGGGCAAACAGUUCCCAUUCCUCCUCCUCCUCCCCUUCUUCUUCUUCUUCUUCUUCUUCUUCUUCUUCUUCUUCUUCUUCAUCGUCGUCGUCGUCAUCAGACACGACCGCCCCUUUCCGCCACCGUAGGAGCUCCUUGGCGGCCCUCUGCCGCCGCUUCUCCGUCUCCUUGUCCUUGCGGCGCUUGUCCUUCUCCGCCUGAGCACGGUUGAGGGCCCUCCGUACGGCAUCCUCCGGCACCGGCGGGAGAGAGUCCUUAACCCGGGUCAGCGAGCCCUGUGGGGCGAAAAAGAGGAUCAACAUCAGAACGACAAGAUGGCAGAACAUCAGGAGGAAGAGGGUAGCGACCCAGACGCCUUACCAGGUCCACGAAGCCCGGCUCCGGGCGCAUCGGCGGGUGCCCGGGGACCGGGUACUCGACGUCCUUGUCCUCCAGCGCCUCCCGGAGCCGUUGCUGGAUCUCGGAGUUGGCGAGCGCGCCUAUCGCCAGGACGGUGCCCUCGGGCGGCGUGUCGGGGGUCAUGACGCCAAGGGGCCGGACCCGGAGCAUCAGCGGCGCCACCCGCCGUGCGUGGUAGGCGCCGAUGACACCGGCACCAGUAAGUCCCUCCCGCUUCAGCUGCCCGAUGGCCUGUAGGAGGUCGAAGAUCUUCUUCUCCUUCUCCACCGGUCCGUACGCCCACACGUCGGGCGCCACGUCGAUGGUGCGGCCGGUGAACGUCGGCAAGGGGGAGUUGGGGUAGUUCUUCAUGUAGAACCAUUGGUUGUGCCACCCCUUAUGGGACACAGAGGUCUUCACCGUCAUAUACUCCUUGGAGCGAGUAUGACGGAGGUGGAUGCCGGCGCACCCAAUCGGCACCGGAGGCGACUGAUGCUGGCCCCCGGCCUUCCCGGUCUUCUGGUAGAGGCUGACCGCGAAGAAGUACUUCCACAGCUCGAAGUGGGGCUCGAUCCCCAGGAAUCCCUCACACAACGCGACGAACGCCGCAAUGUGCUGGAUCCCGUUGGGGUUGAGGUGCUGGAGCUCGAGCCCAUAGUAAUAGAGCAGCCCGCGGAAGAAACGGCUCGGAGGGGAGGCGAAUCCCCGCUCGUGGUAAUGGGCGAAGGAGACGACGUAGCCGGCGGGCGGCGACAGAACCUGCUCCGUCUCCGGCAGCCUCCACUCGUCCCCCGCCGUCCUCUCGCAGAGGAGCCCCUUCCGCACCAGACCUUCGGCGCGCUUGGCGGUAAAGUGGGAGACUCCCCAGGAAGCCAUCGCCAAAGAGGGAGGAGGACCAGCGAAGACGAAGACGAAACGCACGGCAGAUGGCAACGGGAGCGAGGAAAGCGAAAGCGAGCGCAGGAAGAGCUAGAAGGCAAGAAGGCUUGAGCGCGAAAGGAGAGGAACCGGAGCGGCGUGUUCCAGCUUUUAUAGGAAGAGUACCGGGGAAGCCAAACCGACGCCCCGGCCGCCAUAAAUGCGGCGCCAGGUACGCCCCUGCUACGCCCGUUUCCUUUCGAAAAUCGCGCGCACGAUCGGCCGCGAAAAAACAUCCUAUCUUCCUCGAUCCGCGGGACGGCACUUCCAUAAACUCCACUCUUCGGGCUUCGCGCCCAUGACACUCCGCACGACCGGCCCUGGCGCGCCAACUGCUCCGCUCCGGCCCAACACCCACAGGGAGGUAAGAAAGGGAUACGGGGCUGAAAACGCCCCUACGGCCCAAUACGGUCCAGGGGUUCGAAAGAUGGCCCAACACGGGUUCGACAGCUGCCCCAGGACAUCCCCGAGCAAGGGGUGAGAAGGGACGGGCCCGCUAGCGGCCAACACCCAGGCGAGCAAACGCCAAGGGCGCCCCAACCUCACGUUCGAGUCCCGCUCAGUAUAACGUUCAUGGUUUUUCCACGGGGAAAGGCAACGAGCCCUCGGAUCCAAUCGAACGGAUCCGAGAACUAUAUGAACCGACUGGCGGGAAAUUGGAGUACGCCACCAGCUUGGCCCGAGCCGGACCCCCCCGAACGGGGACCGGGACUCCACUCGAACUUACCCGUUUGCAGCUCAAACGAGCAUCACGGUUCGUCCUACGCGGAUAACGUGGCCCGGCUCAACCCCUCCGUCCUAGCGAACGGACGCUUGAGGGGCAACGAUCAAAAAGUCGACCUGGCCUCCCGAUCGGUUUCCUGCAGCGAGCAGGAGCUCGGGGGCUGGCCUCGCAAAAAACUACCACACGUGUGGUCACAAACUGCAGGCUCCCUCAAGCAUGGCAAAAAUGAAACAAGCGCGCCAUAAUGCAGGAACCAACGGCAAAAACAGCGAAAAGAGCCUCCGGAGGAGCACUCCCGCUCCACCACAGGCUCGGGGGCUACUGUCGGGGGGAAAUAUCAACGGUCCCCUAAUACGCAGCUUAAGGAAACAAACCUGAAGGCCCGGGCCCACCAAAAUGUGAUCAAGUCCCCGCCUCGUCCGACCCCAGCAUCAGGACCGGGAGCACCCGACCCCCCUCCGCAGGGUUUCCGCCUCGACCGACCGCGCCCCCAGGGUCGGGAGCCCCCGACCCUGUACCACAAAGGUUCCGCCUCGCCCGACCCCGAGCGAAGGAGUCGGGCACGUUGAGGCCCACGGGUCAGAGUCCUCCUCGGAUACGUUCCGCGUAGACAGGACAAAUCCGGUGGGGCCCCCCGUCGGCCUCACCAUAAAUGCACCGCAGAGAAGGCAGAGCACAGGGAGACCGCGCCCCCCACGCGACCCGGCGCAAGUACCCGCGCACAACCAUCCUGUGCGAGCUACAGUACUGGUGGCCAGCCCCCAUUCGUCACGAAGUACUCAUGAUCUGCGGCGACCGGAGCAGAGCAAGGGGCAGCCCCGUCCUCGGGUCCCGCACGCCCUCGGGCCCCGCGCAAGUGGCAAAACAGGCGUGAAGCUUCCCCUCUCUACAAGCCAUCGUCAGAGCGGCGGUAUCCACCGUCCUCCCUAACGGACGGCAAGGUGACGACGAAACCCCCUCAUCAUGAUCUAUCCUGAUACCUACGAACGUCGAAGUAGCUACCUGCGAGGAGCUGCUGCACUUGGCAUCCGGCGGCGACCCCUUCGAGCAUGCACGACGGCACGCGUUCAGGGUCGGCAGGACGUCGAGCGCCAUGGGCCCCUGCCCUCCUUCCCGCCAGACCUUUUUACCACCUUACUCUUUACCUUUUACCCGAUUCCCAAUUGUAACUCCGGCCAGCCCCUUGCGAUAUAAAAGGCGGAACCCAGAGCCGGAGAGGAGGAGGGAUCGGCAUCUCGAGAGAUCAACACUCCACCUAGAACAGAAGAGACCUGGGUCCAAUCCCUCUCUCGCCCGUCUGUAACCCCCUACUACAGAACCCCUGCGCAGGCAACACGAGUAUCCUCGAUACUGGACGUAGGGCUCCCUUUGCCCGAACCAGUCUAAUCCGUGUCUCCCGUGCAACCAUCUGAGGCUUACGCGCAUAAAAGAAAUUCACUAGUCUAAGUCCUGAUCCGCUGAUCUUGACAACGACACAACUCUAACCUAAUAAACAUGACAACAACUCGGGUGAUAUUUUGACAACUUAAUUGUUGCUGUCAUGUGGCCACACCGUGCACGAUUUGUUAGCGUCAGCCCCUCCAGCCUUGUGAUGUGCACCGACUCAGCAGUGCUGGCAGUCCAACCAGCGACGCAUGAAGGAGGGAAGAGCACAUGGAGUUCUGCGUCGUACACGUGCAUCGACUGCGACAGGAGAACAGCAUGGCGGCCAUGUUGUCAGCGUGAGGAUGCAGAAACCAGCUCUCGCGUCAGCUUAGCCUUAUCCUCUCACUCUCUGACUCUGUCACUCACCUCCAUCUGUCCAUAUAUCCUCUCACUCAAGCGCAUCCAAGCUACGCCCCCAUCCCACGGCUGCCAGCCGCCACCGAGCUAAAGCCAGCCAUGGUUGCCCUCGACCGAACCCAAUCCGAUCCGCCCAUACACAGCACCGCCGCCGCCAUGACCCGUCAACUUCACGCAUCGCGAGUGAUUGUCCAGUUUCAAGAUCCAGAGUGAGUUGUGAUGCUUGCUAUUUUUUCUUUUCUUUCAUGAAUUUUUUUAUAGUUAGCGGCACCAGUGGUUUUCAAGCGGGCUACAGUGGCGCAUCAGGCAGCUCCUACGGUAGCAGGACAACGCAAGCUGCUGGCGGGCCGGAAGCGGCGCACGGACACGACCAACGCAUUGACCAUCGAGCGUGUAGAAAGGGAUUUUUUUGUAAAAUCAUCAAGAACUAUUACAAAGGACCGUGGGUUGAUUAAAAAAAAAGUUGAGGAACUUUUUUGCAAAAUAAUAAAAAAACAAUUGCGCUUUAAUAUUUAAAAUAAAAAUAUUAGGUAGUGGUGGCGAAACCCAAUGCUCCAGAUGAACUAGAAGCCGAUGAUUUUUUUUUCCGGAAGGAGCCGCUACCUACCAAAUGGGCCCUAGGUUUCUGUAUGUGUGUCUGUAUGCUUGUUUGACUCGAUGUGCAACUUGCUCAUCUCGUUUGUGGCGACGGCGAGAUCUUGAUCGGUUGCAUCCUCGCGUAUCACGUGCUUCCUUUCAAUUUCUUUUUAUCACGUGACCUGUUCACUAGAUCUCCAGCCUGCCAUCAGCUAAAAUAACCAGCCUCUUCAGAGAUACGUUUGGAACGGCACCGAGCCACCGAGGUAGGUAGGUGGCGCGGGGGCACAUCAAAUGCGUCAACAAAAGUGGCACUCAAUCGCAGCAGGCACGGCUCUGAAAUCCCAGUUGUACACUGCGCUCUGAGUAUAAAACUAGUACUCAGCCACGUGAGCGGACCGGCUCCAUAUCCAUCUCCGCUUUGCUGUCCGUCCUCGGCCCACGCCCGAAUCCAGAAGGAAUCCCCCACUGCGCGCGCGGGCACCCCGCACCUCCAAUGGCGGCCGCCUCGCUCAAGCUAGCCUCCCCCAAGCCCCUCGCCCCCGCGCCAUCCCCGCUCCUACGCGGGCGGGGCGCGGCGCAGGCGCGGCCCCUCCCUGCGCGCCGCGUCCCGCUGCCCCCCCGCGUCGCCGUGCAGCACCACGACGCGCCGGCCGCCGCCCCGCGCAUCGGCUCCUUCGACAAGGUGCUGGAGGCGCUGAUCGCCGGGACCGACUUCUCGGAGGAGGACGCGGAGGACACGCUGCGGCUGCUGCUGGAGGAGAAGGACGAGGCGCGCAUCGCCGCCUUCCUCGUCCUCCUCAGGGCCAAGGGCGAGACCUACGAAGAGGUGCGUGCGUGUGGUUCGCGAGGGCGCUGCCGGUUUCGUUACAGGAAUGGAUUGGAUCUCACCGUUGACUUUGCUAUCGACUGGUGUUCAGAUCGUGGGGCUGGCGAACGCGAUGCUGAGCUGCUGCGUCCGGGUUGACGGGCUGGACGACGCCGUCGACAUUGUCGGCACCGGCGGCGACGGCGCGGACACCGUCAACAUCUCCACCGGUUCCACCAUCCUCGCCGCCGCGGCCGGCGCCAAGGUCGCUAAGGUAUCGUGUUUUCGGCGCUUUUGGAUCAUCGAAUUCGGCUGUAGUUUUGAGGCCGGUGGCGCUGAUGCGGUGUUUGCUCGUCGUGCAGCAAGGGAGCAGGGCGAGCUCGUCGGCGUGCGGCAGCGCCGAUGUGCUGGAGGCGCUGGGGGUCAACAUCGAGCUUGGACCCGAGGUACUGCCACAUAUUUCUUCAUCUACCUUUUACUAGUAUUCUAGCACCACGAUGGCAACAAGUGCUGGGUUUUGUAAUGUCCUUCGACUUUUCCAUUUCUUAGGGUCCUAGUACCUAUGAACCGGUACGCAAGUGACAUGGAAAAUGAAACGACAAAUCUGUAUGAUGGACAUGUAGGUUGGGGCCGUUGAAUAUGAUUCCUACCACCUGGUUAUUAGUGUAAAAGGACACACUUGAAAUGUUAGAUAUCCAAUUACUGAUUUAUGUGGAUUAGAAUGCAAGAUUACAGUCAAACCAAUGGUACCGUGUACUAGUAAACUCGUGUGAUUCAAUUAGUCACAUCUUGAGGCUGAAAGGUGCCACAUACUAGUGACUUUCUUUCCACAUAUCUCAACAUUUACAGUUGGAGUUUCUCACCCAGCCUGAUGUUCAAAUGCAACCUUGUUGAUUAAGAGAAUAUUUAUUCAGAGAUGUCCAUGCUGUGGCUUAGAUGUCUGCUUGUUCGAUGUCAGGACAGCUUUGUUGAUGCUUUAGUUUUUCAAACUAGCUGCUCAUCCCAUUACUUUCUCCCACUUAUGCCCAAUUUGACAACAUGCUUGAAAAUAAGGUUAUCUGCCUCUAUUAACACUUCUGCUUUUAGCUCAUGCUCCUCAUUUUUAGUUUCGUAUCUAUUAUGUGAAAUGUUUCCAGAAAGAAGGUGCUGUUAAUUGAAAAUAAGGUUAUCUGCCUCUAUUAACACUUCCGCUUGUCGAACUUUUGAACUGCACUAGUUUUACGUACCCUUGAGUCGUCAACUACAACAUACUCCUACAUGACUAUACCUACCAUGGAUUCUAUGAUCGAGGGGUGGUUAGAUGAAAUUGCUCGUGCUCACUUAAUUUUGGCUAUGUUCAACUUCCCUAUCUGUGUAUUAUAUGCUUGCAUAGUCAAUCACUCCAACCUUGUGAUGCUCUUGAGUGCAUUAAUCUAUUGUUAUAUUCUGAUAUUAUGUUUCUUUUAUCCCCUAUGAGGAAAGGCUUGCUGUCUUGACUUUUCAACCUUGAUAUACUGUAUUUCAAUCAUAGUGUUUCCUGCCAGGUGGGGCUAAUUUUGUUACUCUUUCCUGUUGCAAGGGUAUUAAACGGUGUAUCAAUGAGGUGGGCGUGGGGUUCAUGAUGUCUGCAAAUUAUCAUCCUGCAAUGAAAAUUGUCAGACCUGUGAGGAAGAAUCUGAAAAUAAAGACAGUUUUCAAUAUCCUUGGUCCUCUAUUGAAUCCAGCAAGGGUGCCUCAUGCUGUUAUUGGUGUUUACCAUGAGAACAUAGUAAGUAUAUAUUUGUCUGGUCCUUUCUUGUAGCUGUACGAUACAAGUUACACAAGCAAGCAUGGUAUAUCUGUAAGUGUAUCAUUUCCAAAGUGAUAGGUUAAUGUUUGCAUGUCCCAUUAUCUGUAAGUGUUUUUUCCAUUGGUUGUAUUGCCCAGUCUGGGCUUCAUCUUCUUUUUAAUAUAAUCGGCAGCUCUCCUGCAUAGUUCGUUUAAAAAAAAUUAUCAUAUAAACAAUAAAGAUAAAAUAAAGGUGGCUGGAAGCUUCAGUCAGUCCAUUAAAAUGAAUCUGUCUUUCAGAUGAAUGCUCCUUUUCUUAUUACUGAUACUUCCUUGAAUCACAAAUAUAACAUCACUUUUCUUGAAAAUAGAAGUAAUCCACUGUUUCAUUGGCAAACUCUAUAUGAUUGUUAGUCCAUGCAAAGCUCAUUGACCUAAAGUGCUGCAAUUUUUGGCAAUAGGUUACCAAGAUGGCUAAGGCUGCACAGAAAUUUGGCAUGAAGAGAGCAUUGGUUGUCCAUUCAAAGGGUUUGGACGAAAUAAGCCCACUAGGUAUGGACAACUCCAAAUGGUUUCACUCUGUUUCUGCCACUGUUUUGCUACAAAUGGCUGUGGUUUCUCAAGUACCUUUUAUCUUGUUCAACUGGUAUAUUGAGUAUUUGACAGAAGAUUCUUUUUGAUGCUGCAGGUCCUGGAUAUAUCCUUGAUGUUACUCCAGGAAAGAUUGAAAAAAUGCUCUUCGAUCCAUGUAAGAGUGGCUCUUACUUUUUCUCUCAAAAUGUAUACAAGUAUAUUUCAAUGGGUGCACUUUUGUGCAGUUUGGGCUGGCUCAUUUUAGUUGAGUUGCAUCAAUUUGCACUUCCGGCUCGUAUUGUACCUUAUUUUCUAUGUUAUGAUUGCUGACUGCUGAAGAAGGGCAUAUUAUAAUAGAAUCAAUGAACUAGUGGAUGAGGGGAAACGGUAUAACUUUCUUUGCUCUAACAUUUCUCUAUUUAUUACAAUAUAGUGGACUUUGGUAUUCCUCGCUGCACAUUGGAAGAUCUAAAAGGAGGUGAUCCAGCAUUUAACGCAAAAGUUCUUCAGGAUGUUCUUGCUGGUCAAAAAGGGUCGGUUGCAGAUGCGCUUGUAAGUUAGCCUUAGCUCUCUCUUCUGUGCAUUAUACUUCCUCAGGAAAAAUGGCUGCAUAUUCCUUGAUGGAUCCAGUGUUCUGUACCUAACAUCUUGUUUAGCAGCUUAGCUGACACGAAUUUGGUAUCUUGAUUAUCAUUAAUAUUUGGGCAAAACUGUUGCAUUAAGUACCCGUUGAAGAUUAGAGAAAUGAUUAAAAAAUGGUAGAAUUGAACUGUGCUUAUCCAGUGGUGUCUAUAAGCUUAGAUUGAUUUCUGUUGUGCUUAUCCACUGGUGUCUAUAAGCUUAGAUUGAUUUCUGUUUUGCUAUGCAGGUCCUGAAUGCCGCGGCCUCUCUUCUUGUCUGUGGUAAAGUCAAGAAUUUACAUGACGGUGUUGCACUAGCACAAGAGACACAGCGGUCCGGGAAGGCCAUUAAUACACUUGAGUCUUGGAUAAAGAUUUCGAAUGUAAGCACAUUUUAGCUUCUAAUGGGUCUUCUAGGUAUCAUCAGCUAAACAUUGAGCUUUGGAGCAUGACCACCUUUCCCUUACCCUGUUGAUACAGAGUUCCAAGUGACUGAGCGAUGCUGAUUUGCAAUAGAAGGAUUUCUGCAAUAAGGCGAGAGGAAUGGUGGCAAAUAAGGACUCACCAAGUCCAUCCGUCAUCCAUGUAUUAUUAGGUUUUUUCUUUUUUCUCCCAUUUGUUCAUGAUCGGCCGUGUCACAACAAUAGAUGGCUUCUAGUCUGGUUUAUGUAUCAGCGGUGCUGUUGUCUCGAGAAAUCUCCAUCAAGACGGGAUUGUAAGGAUUGUAAGUUCUGCUUGACCGGGGUAGAUGGACAUUGGUUAGAUGAUGUGAUGCCGCAUUACAUUCGGAAGCGAUUGGAAAUUUUGCAAUGCGCAUCAACCUGAAAGAAGCUAGCUCUGCGGGCAGUUCGUUUUUUUUCCGCAGCCGAAAGCUUGUUACAUAAGGAAAUUGGAGCAUGUGUCCUUAAUUCUUGUUUGUAUUUGUGGUUCGAGUAUAUCGACCACACGGCUGACGGCUCUGUCUGACAAGCUGCACGGUGAUUGCAACUGUAUUCUCCAUUUGUUUUCAAUCGAGCUCCUGGGGAAAGCCAAGUUUCUGUUCUACACACACACAACCCAAGUGAACACGGCUAUACUAGUGCAAGCUAAACAAAACGUAUCAGUAUAUCACAAACACAUUACACAAAGCAUAUGCACAGAGCUGCAACCUGCAAGCCUGAACGCAGCCGGGCAAGUGACCGAAAAACUAGGAGCAGGCUCAGACUUUGCCCGGUGAAGCGGCGGAAUGCUUGGCCGCUUUGAGGAUCGCGGCCGACGCGACGUGGAUGGCGGACUCGCCGGGCGGCGCGCCCGGGUCCCGCCGGCUGGACUUGCGCCACCGCCGAUCCCACAGCAGUGACCAGCACUUGACGGUCUCGGCGUCCGGGUCCCUCUCCCUGCACCACCACCACCAACAGCACGGCACAUUUGGUUAAGAUUAAUCAUAUCAUCACAGCAAACAGCAGAGAUAAUCGAGCCACGGCCACGCACUCCAACUGUACGUGGUUACCAAACAAGAGUGCACGGCACUAUGGACUGGUUCAAUCCUUCAGUUCAGUGAGGAAGACGUGUUCCAACAUGUGGUUGUGGGGUAACCAUCUGUGCUUUAUUAGCAGGAGUCGCUUUCACAGGCCGUCGCUGUCAGCCUUCAGUGCCUAUCUACUUGAUGGACGCAUGAUGAUGCAUGAUCAUGCGCUAGUAGCUAGUAGUAACACGACAUCUAAACUAAAAGAUGUGUCUGCACAGCAGCAACUCAAGAUGUGUCUGCACAGCAGCAACUCAGGUGACCAUUUGUAUGUUUCAAAUUUGACGAAAGUUAUAAAAAUAAUAGUGUCCAAAUAGAUUUAGUAUGAAAAUAUGUUACAUGAUUAAUCUAUUGAUAUUUAUUUUGUACCAUAAAUGUUAGUAAUAUAUUGUAUAAAUUUGAUCAAAUUUAAACUUAAUUGACUUCCUGGGAAGCGUGGGAAGGGAGAAUUGCGUUCUUUUCGGUAGGGAGUGGGCAGAAGACGACGACUAGGCGUGCUUCCCUUGGAAAUGUCGUGCCGGCCUUGGAUUGCUAAGCUGCGGUCAGUGCCAAUUUUCAACGCAUGGAUUUGAUUUGAAUUUGAUGGGCCCUAUGCUAUAUGACUGACAGUUAAUAUCUCUAUUUGAUAAAAAAGAGCAAUAAUAAAAACUAAAUUACCCAACAAUUUACUUUAUGAGCUAUGUGAAUUUGUCUUGCAUUCUAGUAUUAUUAUGGAAAUAAAAGGACGGAUCAAGUUCUGUGGCGAUGCGCGGUUAGUUUUGAUUGAUGAGAUGACUGAUUGUUGUCGGAGGGUUUGGAGACGAUUGAUUGGGUGAUUACCUCUUGUUGCACUCGGAGGCGACGCUGGGGGUCCGGCCGCCGGAGAUGGAGGGCGUCCGGCUGGGCCGCGGCGCGGUGAAGCUCCGGGUGAGCGACCGCGGCAUGUAGAAGUUGAGCAGGACGCCGUCGCUGCUGCUGCGGAAGCUGCUCCCGCCGCCGACGCUCCCGCUGUCCCGCCGCCGCGCGGACGCCCUCCGCUCCGGCUUCCCCGCCGGCCUCCCUGACCCCGACCGCGCGGCCGGGUCCGGCUGCUCCUUCCCCUCGGACGGCGGCACGGGCGCGGGCGCGGCGGUGUCGGCGGCUUCUUCGUUGGCGUCGACCCCGACCUUCUCGACGAGGUCGGUGAGCGAGAGCUCGUACUCAGACUCGGGGAGGUCGUGCAGCAUCCCCAGCAUCUCCUCCCGCCGCCGCGCGAUCUCCUGCGCUCGCGCCGACCCCGCGUCCAUCGGCCCCGGGCUCAUCCCCGGCACCCACAGCCUCGCCGCCGCCGCCCGCUCCGUUCUGGCCUGGAGCAUGGCUAGCAGCUGCUCUGCUCCUAUCACUACCUCAGGUGCUCGAGCUGUGCGUUUGGGGGUGCUGCUGCUGGAGUCGUGGGUGGCUGCUGCGAUGCGAUAUAAGAAGUGGUGGCGGUGGGGUGGAGGUGAUCGAUGCGCGCGACGACCCGGCGACUUGGACGGGGUGGUGGCGCGGGAGGCGACGCGCGGACGGGUACCCUCGGUACACGGCAGGCAGAGCAGGGGCGGCGCCCGCGUCCAGUCCAGAGCCAGGAUUUUUGACGGGAUCGGCCUGUGGGUCACGCUGGGAUCUAGAAGGCGAGCGGUGUCUAGCUUUGUGCGCGUGCGACGGUGCGAGCAUCCGCGUAUGCCUUCGGUUGCAAGCAUACAAGUCUAGAAUUGGGGAGGUCCAGAAGAUGGGUGAGUGACGCAGCGUCUGGCCCUGGGCAAACGCGGGUCCACCGCAGCGGCAGUCAGUCAGCGAGCUCCGCCCACGCAUUGAACCAACAGUCAACAGUGCCACCAUCUCAGUCUGUUUUGAUCGUCCUGAAUUUUGGAGUUUUUUCUUUUUUUCUUUCUUUUUUGAGGUAAAUGGUCCUGAGUUUUCAUCAUCGCAGGUGGUCGUUACUCUUUUCAGCAGCACUGAAUUUCUCUGCACCAGCACCGCCCACAUGUCCUUUCUCUGCGAAAGAAGAGGACAUUUCUUAUUUAACAUUAGAAGAUGACUUAAUUCUUUCCUUGAUCCUAAAAUUUUUUUUAUCCCUUAUAUAACACUGAGUUCGAACUUUCAUUCCUCAUUUGACAUUUUCAUCACUUUUAUUAGUUAAGUUGGACAAAAUGACCAUCAAAUCACCUCCAAAAUUCAUGAAACUUUUUGUAGUGAUAAAAUAAAUGAAGAUGAACCCCAUGUUAUUAAAAACACACGUGUACCUUUAUUAUUUUAAAAUUAAAAUUCACCAAAUUAGGCUACUUUUACAAAUUAUCUGAAUUUUAAAGGCAUGAAAACAGUUCUAAAAAAUUAUAUAAAAAUAACUAGUAUUUCUCAUAUCAUAUGCAAUAACUUAUUAAAUUAUUUUCUAGCAUAAGUUACAUAAGAUAAUUAUGAAGAAUGGGAAGUUUGGGAAAUAUUAGAAGAAUCUCAUAAUUUUCUAUGUAACUUAUGAUGGAAAAUAAUUUUAUAAGUGACUACAUCUCAUCUACGGAAUAUUAGGUUUUUUCCCCAUAAUUUUUUAAAAUUAUUUUGGUGCCAUAAAAAUUCAAAUAUGCUUCAAAAAGUAGUAGAAUUUGAUGAAUUUUAAUUUAAAAACUGCAAAGGUACAUAUGCGGUUUUAAGCAACAUGGAUUCAUCUUCAUUGUUAAAUGACCAUAAAAAGUUUCAUGAAUUUUGGAAGGUGAUUUGAUAGUCGUUUUGUCCAACUUGACUUAAAAAAAUGACGAAAAUGUCAAAUAAGAAAUGAAAGUUAGGAUAUGAAUUUUUUCAGAAUCAAGAAAAAAAUUAGGUCAUCUUUUAGUGUCAAAUAAGGAAUUUUCUCUUGAAAGAUUGCAUUGCAACGCUAACAAGUCGUUUGGACGGUCCAACCGAUUGCCUCUUUCAGGUUGCAAAGUGGAAAACUCUGCUUAUUCAGGGCAGCCUCUAGUGGCAGUUCCUCAUCGCACUGUCAACAGCGGUAGCUCGUCCAUGCACAUCUUUUUUCUAUGGUUAGUCUCACAUCGUGCCCAACAUCACUCAACUAAUAGUUUCAAGGGCCUCUCAGUGGAUCACACCAACCUAGCUACUUGUUGGGAUUGCAUCGCUCAUUACCUGGACUGGACACAAAUAUUUAGCAGAAAUGUAGCGGAGGACCAGGAGCCGACUGGAAUACUUUGAUCAUUCUGUUGAUGCUGACACACCAACCAUUGACCAAACCUGAUAUUAUGCACAAAGCAAUAUGUUUUUUUUUCCUGCAACUUAAUCAAGAGUUUGGUGCGUCCUGCACAAUGACAUCUGAAUCAUUGUCGUAUGAAAACAUUGUGAAGCCAGCCGAGAAACAUAACAUUGUACUGACUGCAUCCAAACUCAUCACUAUUCUCUCCAUAGCACAGUGGAUUCAGGCGAAUGCUUACAUAAUGGGGGCAGGGAUCAGAAGUGGCAAAAUCAGGUGAUUUUUGCUUAAAUAUAUGAAGUCCAACGACUUAGGUUUUUUUUUUCCCAGGUAACUACAAGACAACCAAAAAAGAAGAAGAAAUCCAUAGGAAGACUUCUGCAAUACAUGUUCAGAAUUAGACCAUACUCAGGUCCAUAUGCUGAAGCACAUAUAUAUACAGGCAAGCAAUAAAUAAAUAAGGACCAAUAACCAUAUAAGAAAGCUGUGCUACUACAUUCGCAGCUUAAUCCUACACUAGCAAAGUCAUAGUCCGAUCGUUCCAUCUUGAGAUGAGACCUUAAUCAGAAGUAACGGUCUUCGUUUCUGGGCUCUUAGCUCUCAAUAUCCUUUUUAUGUUUACCGUUGGAAUUUCUUGAAUCCUACAAAACAAGCAAGACUCAUGAGCAUGGUGCUGAAACUAUCACCUUCAAGGCUUCUUUCAAAAGAUAGAAAAAAAAUAAAUCAGAAACACAAUACACAUUUCACACAACGGUUAGUAACAUAAAAAUGAGUGCCUACCUGACUCGAAUUUGGUGAGCUUUGCCCAGGUGUUUGUGAAGCAGGUGAUCUUCCAGGAGAAAGUAUUGUGGGUAAAAUCCCAGGUGACUGACCAUGGUUUGAAACUGGGGAACGUAAGAAAGAACUACCAUGGUUGUACGGUGAUAGCGGAGAUGCCAUAGGGGUCUUCCGAAGCCCAUGAGAUAGGGGUCCACCACCAGGAGAUAUAGCUGGUGACAAUGAUUUGCCUGGAGGUAACAUGUUUAUCCUGAUCCUGUAAAACAAGGAAACCGUCAGUCCUGGGCAACUCAGAUCAGCUGUUCAAGAUAACAAGCAGCUACAGUGAAACCACUUACUUGUUAUGUACAUCAACAUACUCAUCUGUUUCAUCGUAGAUUUCUUCCUGUGGAUCAAAUGGCAUGUCAAUUUACAAUAUCUAAGAGAAGCGAAACAAAUUAUCAUGGUUCAACUAUGAUUUUUUUUUGUUUCUCUAUUAAUUUCAUGGGAUGUCUAAAAUGCUGCAAGUAUAAUGAUGUUCCGAUGGGAUAUAGAGAACGCUCACAGCAUCAUUAAUCAAUGUUAUAAGGUCACUUAUCCGAAAGCACUCUGUGAACAAUUUAAAUACUUUUUUGCGAACUAAUGAGAACAAUUAAGAAAAUGUCCAGUCCAACCUGUAGCAAUUCUUCCAUGACAUCUUCCAUUGUGAUUAUUCCAACUGCUUCCUCAUCCAUAGAAUAGCUUGGAAGUGGAUCGGUGUUAAAAUCAAGAAUGUUUUCCCGCUUCCUUUCUGAUUUCUUAUUGUAUGAACGCCCAUCUCCAUACUUCUCUAUGUUAUAUCUACGACUUCCAGCAGUGCUAACAUACGAAGGGGAUGAACCUGAAAGUACAUUCAACUGAUCAGCCAAAGACAAGUGACAGCUAUUUCCUGGAAAGACAUGCGACCAGCAAAGGCUAAUGGAAUACUAGUUCGUACACAGAAAAAAACAUUAAAAUUGAAGUUUAAUCACGGAAGACAAAUUACUAGGAAAAAAUUUAAAAGGCAUGUACCAUCAGAAUGAGCAUCUUUGGGGUUUAUUUUAUAAUCUGCAGUAGUGCUCUUUUGCUUUCCAUUGGAUGCUCCUGCUUCCUUUGUUCUUUUAACUACCACAGCCAUGUGGCUGUGACCUUUCUGGAACUCAUUUAGAAUGUCAUAGAGAGGAAGAUCAUCAUUCACCCUGAUAUACAGAACAGUGGCAACAUUUUGUCGAAAUUAGAAGACAAUCAAUGCAGAUUACUAAGGAGAAAUAUAUGCACCGAUUUUAUCCAAAACAAAAUUUUAUGAAGAACAUAUUGAACGCAAUGAGUGCAUAUGCACUUAUCCAAAACAAAAUUUGUGAAGAACAUAUUGAACGCAAUGAGUGCAUAUGCACUUAUGCUCCUCAAAAUAAGAUCGCGCAAAUCAGAAAGAAUUUAUGGUCACCGCUAGAGCUACAGGCUGGACAGAUAUACCUUGGAAUUUUUCUGAUAGUAACAUUUCGUAUGGGCACUUCAUCUUCAGUUCGGCAAGUAAUCAAGUUUUUAACCUGAAAUGAAAGGGAAUUUUACCAUUGGUCUUUUUUUCUCUCGAACACGCAGGAGAGCUGCGUGUCAUUGCAUUAAUAGAAGGAGUAGUCAUACAGAGACCCAAACACACACACGCACCCACUAGGACUAUUGUAACUUAAUCACCUGUAACAUAAAUGCCAUUGGUCAUAAAAUAAAUAGCAAAUUUGCAAAUCAUUCAUUUCAUUGACAUUAAGGACAUUAAGGAUUCCCCUGGUAAAAAGGACAACAAAAAGAGCUGGGAAGAAAUUGAUAUUAUUCAAAAGUAAAAAUCUAUGACCCUCAAAAAAAGUAAAAAUCUAUUUAGCUCACUCACCAAUAUAAGCCCAAUGAUAUUGCUUGGACUCCCCGAGUAUAUAGGAACACGACUAUGCCCUCUAGUCAUUAUCAUAUCCAUUGUAUGCCUACAGGGAGGAAAAUAGUUCUAUCAAUAGCAUAUAACAAUUAGAGAGCGCAAAUGCUUUAAGUUGAAGAAGAUUCAUACAGGUCCAGCUUAGCAUUUAUGUCAAGUGAAAAUGUUUCAGAUAUAGAAGUCAUGGCGUCUUUUGCAAUCUUUUGAGUGAGCUCCAGAGCUCCUGUAAUGAUAGUGGUUUCAUCAUGAGUCAGCUCUCCACCUUUUCCAGCCUAACAACAAAGUAACAAGACACAUUUUAGAUGGUAACCCGUAUCACUAUUUAUUUGUUGAGAGUCAUAAAUCAAAUAGUCAAAAAGAUAAUAUUGAGGACAUAAGGAGUGUACAAUCAGGAACAUUUGGGCAUUUGUCCCUGUUCAUUCCUAUAAGGUGGUAUAACAUAAUGAAAAAAGUUAUCCAGUAUCUAAUGAAUGAAGAAACAGGAACUUUAAAGAUUACUUUGUAGCUGCAUUAGUAAUAUCGGCACAAUAAUUCAAACGGCAUAAACUACAUGUAAAAAAAAAAUAGCACAGCAUGAACUCAAGAAUUUGAAUAACUAGAUAUUAAAAUGUUUAAACUGGAUAAGAAGUCUUUGAAGAGAAGUGUAUGCCAACCUCAUUGCCGUGCAUAUCAACUAACGUCUUCAGCUCAGCUCUUCUCAUUAGUGCGAAAUGGCCCUUUCCAAGUAGCCAGUCCAACAACUAAACAAAAACAAAUACAUGACCAAAUAAGAUACAGCAAAGGGGAAAGUAAAACAUACAUAUAUACAUCAUAAUAAUAAGCAGGUUGCUGCCAUGAAAGAAAACUGGCUGCCUUCCUCUUUCUUAUUUGGUCAAAGUAUGUUUCUGACGUUUUUGUAGAAUAGCCAAAUUAUGAUAUUCAGUUAACAAUUAGACAUAAUAAUUGAUUUUGUAGAAUUGCUAGUUGAUAACAGUCAGAUAACAGGAAACUGAUUAAGUAUUCUGUAACUGAACUGCUUUUCCCUUGAUGAGUCAGACACAUUCCACAUUUAGACGUAGGCAUAUAUAGACAUCUCUAUUUAUUUAGCUGGGCGACAUGGAGAUGAAGACAAUGGUUGUUGCUUCACGGUUCCAAUUACUUGUUAUUGUGUCAUGGGGCGGACGCAAUGUUAAAUAAGUGCAGAAUUAGUCAGGUUCCGCAAUCCAAUUUAUAAAAGAAGUGCCCAUGUUGACCCCGGGGAAUUUGGAUGACUAGACGAGCAUGGAACAAAAAGCCCUUUUGUUUUGCAAAAUUAAAUAAUGAAACCAGGUAGCGAUCGAUCGAUGUGUCUCCUACUUGCGGCCGCCCGCCCCACCUGUGGUGUCACAUCCCAAUUUCAGUCGGGCAUGGGGCAUCCACCAAGUACGAGGCUCCAAUCCCUCCCUAAUUCGUGCAAACAAAUCGGCCGCCGCGCGCGUACCUUGCUGAUCGGGUAUGCGACGGGGAAGAAGAGGAUGAGAAGAAUCCGGACCACCGGCGCGGCCUUGGCCCCCACGCUGAGCCCGUAGCGCGUGCAGAUGGCUUGCGGCAUGAUCUGCGGGGAACAUAACAUGAGUGGAAGCCGCAGCAACCGAAUCAGUUACUAGCUCAAUUCAUGAAGUAGCUGCAGAAGGGGGGAACAAAUCACAAAUGAAUUGAGGGCAAAAGGGAUCACCUCGCCGAACGCAAGGAUGAGCGUGACGGAGAUGAGGAUGGCGACGUAGGACGGGACGAGCGUGUCGAGGAAUAUGGGCAGCGCCUCCAUGGCGAGCGAGUUGCCGAUGAGGAGCGUGCAGAGGAGCAGGUGCUGGUUCUUCACGACCGGGAGGAUCCUCUCUGAGCGGCGCCCACCACGGAUUAGAGACAGAACGGAAUCAGAAGCAGUUAGCCAGUUACUACUACUGCGGCCGGCGGCGCCGCCGCGGGUGAGAAUCUAUCUGAGGGAGACGAUGAGGAGGAGGAAGAUGAGAGAGAGUAUUGUUACCGGCGUUGAGCUUGUCCUUUGGCUUUCCGGCCUUGGCGAGCACCUCGAGGUCGACGAGGCUGAGUGACAUGAGCCCCAGGGUGAGGCCGGACAUGAGGCCGGCGAACAAGACGAGCCCGACGCAGGCCGUGAGGUAGACCCAGAACAUGGUGCCGCAGCAGGCCUCAUGGCUGGGCAUCUGCACUUGUGCAGCUGGGGGAGUGGUGGUAGCUGCGGCGGGAGCUGGGGGUGCGGGAGCCGGGAGGACUAGCUAGCGGCGUCGUGCGGAAGUGGAACGCAACGAACCGUGUCCCUGCUGCUCGCAGCAACAGCUUUGCUCCCACCGGCUCGGGCCUCUCCUCCUAUAUGGUGGUGGCCGCUUGGUCAUUGGGGCCUUGGGGUUGCGCACUUGCGCCUGCGCCGGGCGGGCUUUCCGAUUCCGUUGCCAACUCCGCUCGUCUUGCCUCCCCGAGCCCACCGGUCAGUAACGGCAACGAGUCCAGCUCGGACACCGCACGCCGCGCGGCCAGGGUGGUGGCCGGUGGGGAUGGAUGGCGACGCGGCUGGGAGUUUUGGGAUGCUGAUGCCUGAUGGUGGUGGACUCGUGACUCUGCUCAGCGUUGCGUGCGGGGGGACCGAUCGGUUUCUCCCGGCCGGCCGGGAAGGGUAACCGGCGAGGAUACUUGCACGGCUCCAUGCCCAUGGAGGCGUUUGUUACCCAACGGGCACUCUCUGCGUCCGGUUACAGAUCAACAGGACCAAAGUUGACAACACAUCCUGAUCUGCUGACGUGCUGCGCCUCAUCAGACAGUCAUGGGCUCGCCUGUCAACCCAAAACCAUAUCUCCCUCCCUCUCCUCGUGGUUUUAGCAGUGUACUCCAUUAGCAGACCCAUUAGCGCCAUCGGUAACUCAAUCCCAUUAUUACAGGACGGCUUAUCUUUUUAGAUGCGGGUCUCAAUGACAUCCAUUGACAUUUUAUUACACGAGAGAAAUAAUUGACAGUCUUUGUUUCUGCCUUUUGUCAUACUACUUAUUACGUUUUUUACCGUGUAGGCAAGGACGAUUACAUAGUACUACUACUAGCCUUCUGUUUUCAAAGCUACUACCCCAUUUGUAAUCUGAUCCAGAGGCCAAGUCUGGGAGUACUGCUAUUGUACAAUCAGUCCAAGCGGUCCGAAAUCAAACCAAGGGAUAAUAUCCAAAGAAAACUGUAGAGAACGAUUUGAAAUAUGAGUGUCCCAGAUACACUAUCCUUUUCAUGGAUCGAUGAACUCCUGCCUCGUGUGUGUAGGUUCUUUUUUUUUCCUUUUUCGUGAAAGCGAUUGUAGUUUUACUAAGAAACACUAGUCCAUCCUCAACAAAAAUUGUUUUUGACUUGGACUAAAUAGACUUUAGUCCCGGGUCUAAAUUUUGUAGUCCGUGAAGGCACCUACACACAAGCCGACCACUAUCAUCAUAAGAAAACACACAGUACCACCACAGCAUCCUCAAGCCAGCUUCAGUUGCUUGUUCUUUUCGAGACAUCUUUCUUUUCACUCGCUUCGCAUAUCAUAAAAGAGAGAACCUGAUCAUGAACCAGUAAACCAAGCGAGGUUAGAAAUUUGCACCUCCACGACUUACUAUAAAAGGAUUGCAUUUCCUACUUAGUUAGAUGUGCUGUGUAAGUGAGAUGGUAAGGAAACUACGCGAGACUUGAGGUCGUGGAUUUGAAUCCCACGCGAAAAUAUCUAAAGAUUCUGAAAGCUAUUACCCAAGUUGAACGGGGCAGAGCUCCCACUAUUUUAAUAGAUGGAACCUAGAACCUCAUGAAUGUUUACGACUCCGGGAGGAAUAAGUAACAGCAGAUCCUCCUAACUAGUAUAGUACUUUGCUGGCAUGAUUCGAGUAAGCAGGUCGGAUACGAUCAGCAGCAGUGUCCUUAUACUAACAAGGAGCCCACACACUGCACACGUGAGCAUACACAGACCACCAGCAGUAACAUUUUUUACUUGCUGCAUGCGUGGUGAUCCGAAUGAUUCUCUGAUAAUUCCUCUCGGUGCUGGUGGCAUUUGCCUCUGAAAAUGGGCUCAUCAGGACGAUGCAACCGGUGGCGGCAUAUUCCCUCCUCUCCUCUCGGGCGCAUGGAUUUGGGGGCGGAGCAUUCGGUGGUCAUGCUUGUUGUUGGCGAUGCAACGACGACGAGCCUGGAUGGAAUAAUUCUGCCCCCGGCCACUGAUCCUGAGCUCAUAUCUUUGUCACUCACGGCUCAAGUUUUGGCUGAUCAUAGGGCUCUUUCAUCACCUCAUCUCUUGCUCAGACGACAAGGCAUACCUUGGUCAUGUGCAGAGCGUCGAAAAGGACCUGUCCGCACUCUGCUCGAAGGGGCAAUUUCAUCUCAGGAUCAACCGCUGCCUGUGUUUCUGCACAAGCUAGGGACAGUUUCAUGAGACGGCUGCUGAUGGCAAUGAGCCAAUUGCUGCUAACAGCUCGGAUGACUAGGAGCUUUCGGUCGUAAUGCCCUGAAGAGAAAAGGAAUGGCCGGUCCAGUAGUUUAGCAUUUGAUGCAGUUGCUUUACCGAACUGGGUCGAGGUCGAUCACGUACGAAUAUGCAUGUAGCUCAUCGACCGAGUGCCCGAUUUUUUACUUAUAAGAGGAAAGGUUGGGCCAAGAAAGCAAUCGUGCACGCGCAGCUUCACGUCGAGACAAGGAAGAAAGUGGAGCGUGUGUGUGAGCGCAUCUCCUUUUGCAUCGCGCAGCGGUGAGGCGCUCAGCUUAAUUCUUAGGUUAUCUUGCCGUCAGCUUAACUGAAAAAGUAUAUGGAGUCAUCAUAUUCGGUGAAGAUUUAUUGAGGAUUCAAAAGCCGGUGAAUUUUCUUUUUUGGUGGAGUCAAGAUCUAUCAGGAUUAUGUAGCUUAUCUAGCAUAUGAUGAGGAAAGAUGAGCUGGGCUAAGAAAUCAAAACAACACGCAUGCUUGCGCAGCUUCAGGUUGAAAGAAUUACACAGAAAAUGAACAUGGCGUAGGCUAGCACACGUAGCGUUUGAAUUGCAGCAUCAUGAUCCACUAUGCAUGCAACUUUUCCCCCAGUGGUGUCUGUUUCUCGUUUAGGUUAUCUCCGCUGGAGGUUAUUUAAUUUGGUCGCAAAAUUAAACCAUCCUACAACCUAAGGUCUCGAGUUGGCCCAACUGAUUUGGAAACAAAAAGGCACUUGGAAUACGGAUUGUGUGGAGGUGCAAUUUUGUAGGGCAUAGCUAGUGGUACACCGCCACGCUGGUACUCUACAUUAUCCUUUCAGCAAGACGCACGUACGCAAGACUUUGCCAUUGCUAACCUAAUCAUCAGUGCAACAGAAAAGUGCUUCCAUAUUCAUGAACUCGACCUUUAAUUGCAAAGUGAGUAACGUUCCUGUGGGAAUAUGCCACACAAUCUUCAUGAACUCGACCUUUAAUUUGAACGAAAUUCGUCGACUCGCGCCUAUCUUAGAUGAAUUGCUCUAACAGCUCCACGCACAUUAUUAUGCCAACUAUUCACUCGCGAUGCUACACGCUCAACUUGUGCAUUGUGAUCGAUCUGUCCUGCUUGGUGGUCACCGUCUGCAUCUCUGGACUCUGUCUGGUUCAUGGCACGUUACAAGGAGCCGGCAAAGGAAGCAAUGCCCCCUUGUUUUUGCCACGAUUCUGUUGCGUCCAUCCGGGGAAGAAGCUAGGCAAGCGUCGAAUUCUCCGGAGCAGCUCCUUCUCGCCUUUCGCGUCAGCUAACAUACGGGACCCACAUGGGCUGUAUGCUCCAUUAGGACAAAUUGUGGCGAAUCAGAAUUCCCCCCAACAACUGUUCGCAGAUGGAAUGCCUGGCAUGCUAUAGCUGGAUACCUGUCGACGUCCCAGCAUCGCCGCUAAUGGAGAUUCUUAAUCUAAAAUAGCAAUGGCCUGUUCGGUAGUGCUGGCUGCACAGCUGCAGCUACAGCCAGCGUUCAACACAGCGAGCGGCUGGCUUGUUGUGCUGCUGCAGCUGCAGCCGCAGCCGGCCGAAAAAAGUGCAGCCGAAUAUCUGCCAAGGAACACGCACAGGUCCUUCACGGAUCUUGUUUUUCGGUUUUACAGGCAAGUAGGCAACCAUCGCCCGUUCUUUGACCCCGUCGGAGUUCAGAUGAUAGUGGCCGUGGCCGUUCAGCGAUCAGGAGCGUGGGCCUGCUAGUCCGAGUUGGGCCACGACCACGCACUGACGAGCGUAUGGCCGGUCUGGGCCAGAUAGCGCUAUGGGCCGCAACAAGAUUCUUUUUUUCUCCCAAAAACGGAGGGGGAAAAAAAGAAAACGAAAAGUGCUAACCACCAGUGGAAGACGAUGUGAGGGGAGCUUCGCCGGAGUUAGAGACGGCGCGGCGAUUCCGGCUCAACAAACCACCAGGGGAACAAGAGGGGCGGCGGCGUGGAGAUGGGGAGCCCUCUCGGCGGGUGGCCGUCGUACAAUCCGCGCAACUUCAGCCAGCUCGUCCCGGCCGACCCCUCCUCUCAGCCCUCGGUCGGUCAGCACUUCCCCCUCUUUGGCGAUCUCGUCUCCAAUACACCGCACUGACUCUCUCCAUAGUUCCUGAUGAUCUUGCAUAAGCUUGAAUAUUUAGUUAGGAGGUAUUGGUUGGUGCUUGGUCAGUGACAUCUGUGGACUCUUGUAUCCACAAUAAAAAACUUCCUUUUGUACUGCUUUCAGGCAGGGAGCAUGAAUCAAUGGUCGUAUGGUUCGAUUCUGCUGAAACCACAGUAUGGAUGGUUUGAGAAAGAGGGUAUCGAUGUUUGUUUUUAGUUCAUCUGCGAGAGACCCGGCUCAGUUUCAGUGAAUUUUCUGCAUACUGUCCAAACAUUUAGGUCUUGGUUUUGUCAUGGUUGCCCUGAUAAGAUUCAGUUGAUGUUGUACUUAUCGAUUGAUGGUGGUUCUUUUUGUGUUUCUAAUCGUACUCCAUCACCAGCAGCUCAUAUGGCACAUAUAUAUAUCCAUUUAGAGUGGCCCUAAUGCUAUUAUUUAGUUUUUGUAUUCUUGACUGAGCUUGAUGCUGACAAGUGAGAACUUAUACUAUGAAAGAUAUAUUCGGUUGACCUCAUGCUGACUGUUUUUUCCCCUUUCCAUGUGUAUCUCAUCAGAAUGUCACACCAGCCACUUACAUUGCAACUCACAGGACAGAUCCGCCUCCCAAUCAAGGUAACACCUUUCCAUGUUCUCGAACCAACGUUCGUGUGCUGCUCCCUUAAAUGUAUCCUAUUUUAUUUGCUCAUUGUCCACUUGCAUGCAAUUGAGGCCAUGGAAUUACUGUUCAUAACUUCAUAUUAUGCCGACAAUUUCUUUUCUACGUAUUGUCGUACUAUGUAAGCUCCGUGUUGCAAAAUAGGUCUCCUGAACUGUUUGGUCUGAACUGAAAGUUCUGUAGGUAGAUGGCUCUCUUAUCUUUCAGGAACGGAGCAUGUUUCUCCAAACAUUUUGCGCCUCAGGGUAGAGUGCUGCAAGUCGCAAAGAGUGAUACCAGCCAUAAUGACUGAACUACUGAACACCUUAUCCUACACAAAUGAUGACCUCUGCUACGUUUCCCCAACCUAUAGUCCAAAAGUUCCUCGCUUCCACUAGUAAUCAGCAGCUGAAUGCUAUGAUUGUUUUUUCAAUAGUAGCUGUCUUAACCAUGGCGCAGUAUAACACUACUUGCCUCACUUGCCAAUUUACCAGCUGCAACUGUCAGCAGUACCAGGCUUUAUGUGAUUUAUUAAAUGCUGUUUGUUUCUUGCAAAAAGCCCAGGUACUGCCCCUUCUCACCAAAGUUUACAUUCAAACUUAAUUAGGAAACCUUUUUUUUGUUACAUUAGGAAAUUCUGAGAACUGAUCGAUACUCGCUUCGUACAGUCCCCGUUCGAGGAGGCCACCCACCUAGGCUUGAAACUGGGUGCUUGCAAAAUGUUUGUGUGUGUACCUCUGCUUUCAUCGAGUUUCCCGGUCAGCCACAGUUUUGCACUCCCGUUCUUGAAACAAAGCCUGGGGGAUUUCAUCUUCCCAUGGUCAAUUUUUUUUAAGUAGGAAAUUCCAAUUUAUGAAGGUAUGUUUCUUAGUUGUACUAAAACACAUUGGCUAACAGCAUAUUAGUAUUUCUCUUGGGUUUGAUCUCCAUAUGAGUGGCUGGGUUUUUAUGCUGGCUCGCCAAGCCUAUCAUAACCCCCCUCCUCCUUUAUCCGGGCUAUGUUGAAACAACACAGGCUGACAGGCAGAGUUCUUGGUAUGUCCAUGUGUAGCUUAUCUAUAUUGCUGCCAAGUUGGUUUGCCUUCUGUUCAGACAUCUAGAUCCCUCAGAACCAUUGCCCUGAUCUAUAUGGUAAGUGCCCAAAAGAAUAUUGAUAUUGGAGGAUGAGGAAGAUGAAUAAAGGUUGGGUAAGUAGCGUUCAAAGGUGAGGGUGGAGCAAGGGUGUUGGUGUUUAAGAUGGAACAACAUGCCAGUUAAACGCCAUUGGAGCCGUCCAGGUGAAAUGCCAUCCACAUAGAGUGCUAGAACUGCGAUAUCCUUGAGAGUAGUAGUAAACUAAUGGUCAAACUGAUUAGGUUGUUGGCUUAAACACUCUGGUUUGUCAAUUUCUAUUACAUCUCACCCUAAACAUUUACAAGGCGACACAAAACCAGAAGUCCUUAUUGCAUCCAGGCCUUUUGGCUCAGCCAUGUCCUCUGCAUGUUGGUGAAAACUUGAUGGUGCGCUGCUGACCAAGUGUACCAAAAAAAAA
rnacentral:lncRNA from 1 species